rnacentral:lncRNA from 1 species
UUCUUUCUUAACAAAAUUCCAAAGAUGUGUAGCAUUUUUCAGAUCACAUGCGAUGGUGCUCUUUUCAAUCGUUGCUUGGAUUGCUUUCUUGGAAAAGCAGCAUACAUACGUAACCUCCAAGAUAAUCUUGAUGCCUUGGACACUGAACUGGGAAGACUAAUCGCUAAAAAGAACGAUGUGAUGAGGAGGGUUGUCGACGCUGAACGACAACAAAUGAGAAGGCUGGACGGAGUGCAAGUGUGGGUUUCGAGGGUGGAUGCUGUUAAAACUGGAGCCGAUGAACUUAUCACAGACGGCUCUGAAGAAAUUGGCAAAUUAUGUGUUGGAGGCUACUGUUCCAAGAACUGCAGGUCAAGCUACAAAUUCGGAAAACAAGUGGCUAAAAAGCUACAAGAUGUAAAGACUUUAAUCGCCGAGGGAGUUUUUGAGGCGGUGGCCACUGAGGUGGUGCCCGAGAGAGCUCCGGAACCUGUAGCAGAUAAAAGACCCACUGAGCCAACAAUAGUAGGCUUGCAAUCACAGCUUGAACAAGUUUGGAGAUGUCUUGUAGAAGAAUCAGUGGGAAUCAUUGGCCUAUAUGGUAUGGGCGGUGUUGGUAAAACCACACUAUUGACCCAUAUCAACAAUAAAUUUCUUGAGAGUCCCACAAACUUUGAUUGUGUGAUUUGGGUCGUAGUUUCAAAAGACCUGCGACUUGAAAAAAUUCAAGAAGAUAUUGGGAAGAAGAUAGGUCUCUCUGAUGAUUCAUGGAAGAAUAAAAGUUUUGAAGAGAAAGCUGUGGACAUCCUGCGGAGAUUAGGAGAGAAGAGAUUUGUAUUGUUGUUAGAUGAUUUAUGGGAGCGGGUUGAUUUAACAGAAGUGGGCGUUCCACUUCCCAGCGCACAAAAUACUACCUCAAAAGUCGUAUUCACAACCCGUUCCAUUGGUGUUUGUGGCAGCAUGAGAGCUAGGCCGGUUAAAGUGGCAUGCCUAUCAGAAAAGCAAGCUUGGGAAUUGUUCCGCGAAAAUGUUGGGGAAGAAACUCUUGAGAGUGAUCAUGAGAUCGUUGAGCUAGCCCAAACUGUGGCCAAAGAGUGUGGUGGUUUGCCACUCGCACUUAUUACUAUUGGUCGAGCUAUGGCCUACAGAAAGAAAGCGGAGCAGUGGAGACGUGCAAUUGAAGAGUUAAGAAGAUCAGCUUCAGAGUUUGCAGGUUUGGGAAAAGAGGUGUAUCCUCUUUUAAAGUUUAGCUAUGAUAGUUUGCAGAAUGAUACAAUUAGAUCUUGUUUCUUGUAUUGUUGUUUAUAUCCUGAAGAUUAUGGCAUUCUUAAAUGGGACUUGAUUGAUUGUUGGAUUGGCGAGGGAUUUUUUGGGGAAUCUGACAGGUCUGGUGCAGAAAACCAAGGCUAUGACAUUUUGGACACUCUUGUUCGUGCACGUUUAUUAGAAGAGGUGGAAGAUGAUAAAGUAAAAAUGCAUGACGUUAUUCGUGAUAUGGCUCUAUGGAUAGCUUGUGAAAUUGAGAAGGAGAAGAGAAACUUUUUGGUUUGUGCAGGUGCUGGAUUAAAAGAGGCACCGGAUGUUAAAGGAUGGGAAAAUGUGAGAAGAUUGUCAUUGAUGCAAAACCAAAUUAAAACUCUGUCAGAGGUUCCCACAUGCCCUCAUCUCCAUACUUUAUUUCUUGCCUCUAAUAUGGAGUUGGAGAUGAUCGCGGAUGGCUUCUUCCAAUUUAUGCCUUCUCUCAAAGUUUUGAAGAUGUCACGCUGCUGGAAUUUUCAAUUACCUGUUGGGAUGUCAGAUUUGGGUUCGUCACUAGAACUUCUUGAUAUUUCACGUACCAAAAUAAGAGAGUUACCAGAAGAGUUAAAGUUGUUGGUAAAUCUGAAAUGUUUGAAUUUGGGGUGGACAAGGGAGUUAAAUAAAAUUCCACGGCAACUAAUAUCAAAUUCUUCAAGGUUACGUGUGUUGAGAAUGUUCGCUACUGGCUAUGGGGGUCUUCAUGGAGCAUCAGAAGAUAGCGUUUUUUUUGGCGGGGGUGAAGUUUUGAUACAGGAAUUGCUCGGUUUGAAAUAUUUAGAGGUAUUGGAGUUGACCUUGGGAAGUUAUCAUGCUCUCCAAAUUGUUUUGAGCUCAAAUAAGUUGAAAAGUUGUAUUCGAUCUCUUUUCCUCCAGUUGUUCAGAGAUACAACGUCGAUUAUUGAUGCUACGGCUUUCGCAGAUCUAAACCACCUCAAUGAAUUACAUAUUUAUAUAGGUAUUGAGUUGGAAGAGUUGAAGAUUGAUUAUACAGAGAUAGUACGAAAAAGGCGGGAACCUUUUGUUUUCCGCAGCCUUCACCUUGUUACUAUACAUAGCUGCCCUAAAUUGAAAUAUGUGACAUUCCUCGUUUUUGCUCCAAACCUCAAGUCUCUUGAGCUAUGGAAUUGCCAUGCUAUGGAAGAAAUAAUCAGCGUCGGAAAAUUUGCUGAGACUCCUGAGAUGAUGGGACAUAUAAGCCCUUUUGAAAAUCUCCAAAGGCUUAAUUUAGAAGAUUUGCCAAAUUUGGAGAGCAUCUACUGGAAGCCAUUGCCUUUUACUCGUCUGAAAGAAAUGGCGGUACUUGGGUGCGAUCAGCUUGAAAAGCUUCCGGUCGAUUCCAAUAGUGCAAAAGAGCGUAAAUUUGUAAUUCGUGGAGAAGAAGACUGGUGGAACCGACUUCAAUGGGAGGAUGAAUCCACUCAAAUUGCUUUUCGUUCCUGUUUCCAACCUGAUUCCUGAGCGGUGGUCGCAAAAUUUGAUUUCUGGUGAGUGCGUUUGUCUUUUAAAAGAAGAAUUUAAAAGAAAUUAUUCUUGUCGUUUGUUUUCUUCUGUGUUUUUAUUUCAGUUUCUUUCUCUCUCUCUCUCUCUCUCUUUUUGGUCUUCUGCAAAUCACAAUUAAAUGUUGAAUUAAUGGAAUUAAUGCUUCAUAAAUUUGCCGGCACUGCCAUUACUGUUUUUUGGGGGGGUCGAAUUGAUGCUCUGGUUUUUUACUUUUUGUUGUCAAAUUUUGCCCUGUUCUAUCUUCUUAGCGAUUUAAUUUCCUGUCAAAAGACGAGCGAGAAGAACAUAUAUAUGACUUAAACCAAUUGAUACUUUAUUUAUGUGCAUUGUAUGUAAUAAAUAUUAAGUAUACUUUAUUUUGCCCUGUUCUCUGUUUUUAUUUCAGUCUCUCUCUCUCUCUCUUUCCUGUCUUCUGCAAGUCAUAAUUAAAUGGUGAAUUAUAUGGAAUUAAUGCUUUACAAAUCUGCCUGCACUGGCUUUUUUUUUUUUUUUUUUGUGGGGUCGAAUUGAUGCUCUGGUUUUUUUUUGUUGUCAAAAUUUUCUCUGUUUUUUCAAAUUGAUGCUUUAUUUAUAUCUUCUUCGUGAAAAGUGAUUUAAUUUCCUGCCAAAAGACGAACGAGAAGAACAUUAGAGUCAAACUAAUGCUCACAUAAAUUUCCCGUCAGAAUAUAUAAUUAGACUGGAAUAGUAGCACUCUUUACAGAAAAUGACGUGAAAGUUAAUUUAGAAAGAUAUAUUCUUGACGUGAAAGUUAAUAGUAUACAUGCCAUCACCAUUACCAAGAAUCAAGCAUGGAAUUGGAAGUCAUUCUAUAGAGUGCAGAACAUGACUCUAUGCGGUAGUCAAUUUGACACACGACGAACACCAUAUGCUGCAUAACAUACAAAUUAAUUUCCCAUAUGUGAUGCAAUUUGCUCCUCAACAUAUGCGCAAUUCUUUCCAUUCCGGCCGUUGAUUGAACCCUUUGGCAACAAGACGAGCUUUAAACUUGUCAACAGAACCGUUGGAAUGUCUUUUAAUACAAAAAUCCUUUUGCAGCCAACAAUAUUGGAAGGGAUGGGAGGUGGAACAAGCUUCCAUGUCCCGUUACGAACAAGAGCAUCAUACUCUUCUGACAUAGCUUGACGCCAGUGAGGAUUUUUGAUAGCUUGUGUCACAGUUGUAGGUUCACAAUCAGAAAAAGGGCUAAAAUGAGCACGGAGGUUAAGUUUUUGUAACGGCUUGUGAAUCUUAUUUUUAGCUCGGGUAGUCAUAUCAUGAUGAUUUGUGGGGCAAUGAUCUAGUGGAAGUUUGGGAAGAUGAUUGAACAGGAAGUGAAGAAGUGCUUUGUGUAGAGGUAGAAGUAGGUUGGGAGGAUUGCUGCGGCGAUGUUACCGGUAGAAAAGAAGGAGCAGUACACGGUGCAACUCCAGAGGGCCCACAGUAGAUGGAGUAGGUGCCGACGAUGGAGUACUAGGAAAUGAAACAGUAAGAAUUGGUGGAACACUUGCGUAAUUAGGAGUGGUUGAUGAGCUUGUAAUGAUUUGUAUGGAAAAACAAACUCUACAAAUUUAACGUGACGUGAAAAAAAAAUUUGAAAGGUGGAUGGGUCAAAACAUAAAUAAGCACUUUGAGAUAAAGGAAUAUCCUAGAAAAACACAAGGCUUAGAGGGUGGUUCGAGUUUAUGUGAUGAAACACAAACAUUCAAAAAUUUUUAAGUUUAUAUUAAUUAGGAGUGGUACCAAAAAUUAAUUAGCUAUGGGGUUGUUGGAUGUGUUUUGGAUAUUUACAGUUAAGUUUGAGUAUCUCAACUUAAAAUUUGUAGUUUUCACUUGAAAAAAUUCAGUUAAAUUUUGCAAUGCAGACUGAUUGAUUUAUCAGUUUAACGUGUGCCAGGAAUGAAGAACUGGAAUAUCACCGUCAAGCAAGCACCCUGUGGAGCAAUACCAAAGAAUGCACAAUCCGGCUUUGCUAGGUGACACUGGAGGCUUUUUGAAAAGUGCUUCACGCUCACUUGCACAGAUUGAGCAUCCCCUCUGGAUAUUGCCCUCUCUGAUCGAGUCUGAGCACUCAAAUUUCGGUCCUCAGAUGGAGCUACAGCUUUCUCUCCAAUAACCAACAAUUUUCUAAACUCAGCACCUAGUGUGAUCAGAGUUGUUGAUAUUUGUAAAUGGAGAUCCCCAUAUUUGUAAAUGGAGACAUUUAACAAAUCACCAACAUGCUUCAUCCGGUGUACAAAAUUCUGCAGCUGAUUCAAAUCCGGAACCUGAACCAGAGUCGGAGGUAUAUCUUGAGCCAUAUCUAAAGCAGUUUGAAGUUCAAGACCUUGAGCCCUUGACAAUGGUUUUGAAAUUGGAACAUCUUGGAUUACUGCAGACUUGUACCCCUUGGUUUCAAAGGUAAGGAAAGGCAUUGCUUGAGUACAAUUUGGAGGCAGCUUCUUCACCAAUUUUAUUUGGAGGCGAUUGGCAGCGGAUCCAGCUGCACCAAUUUCAGAGCAACUACUGACACUACUUCGAACAGCACACUGAAGAAGUGAUAUGUCUACAGCAAAGGCAAUGCAGUCCUCAUUUUGGCUUGAGAUGCGGUAAUCAUCGAAGAGAGUUUCCUUGUGAAACUGGGCAACACAUUGAAUCCCUUUGGCACUGAGAAGGUUGUGGAGGAAGUAAGCUUUCUCUCUAGUAAGGAAGAGGUGGCAUACAUUCCCCAUUUUGUCUAGGGCAGGUAGGAAUCUUUUUUCUAAGAGAUUUACUUCAUUCUCUGUGAGAAAUGCUUUGAACUUCAUCCCUCUGUCUCUAUCCUCACUUAUCAGUAAAAUAGUUGAAAGCGCUACAAGGAGAGAAAAGAAGAGUAUUAAGAUAUAUAUAGACAAGAAAAACAUUAGAUGUCGAUCUUACAAGCUAAUACUUCAAACAGUAUCCUAGAAAGCUAAAAACUGCAAAAUGGCUUGAAAUUUGAAAAGAACACAUGCUUUUCCUCCAUAACUUGAGAAAAUGUUUAAUAUAGUGCACCUUACAGAAACAUUUAAGCAAUUAGAACUUUGCACAAAAACAUUCAAGAAGACUAAACAAAUCAGAUGCAGUGUAUUUCUCCAAGCACAAAUGGCAUUGCAUUUCUUCCUCAACUGUAAUAUUUAUUGAUGAAAAUCAGUACAGGUCCCUCAUUUGUUAUGGAAAGCUUUCUUGUAGUCUGACCGGUUAAUUCACGGGUCUAUAAUCAUCUUGCAAAGUUACAGGCAUUUCUUUCGAUUUAAAGUCUUUGCAUCACCACCUCAUCACACACCAAGCCAAUAUUCCGUCUACCUCUACAACAAAAAGUUUUAAGUAAACGAUCCUAAUGCAUGCAGCCAAAUAAAAUGCAGUAAGAAUAUUCAACUUAAAACUCUGAAAGCCAUCUUGGUGAAUUGCCUCCUUAGGGGAAGUUCCAUGAUUUACUAUAGUUGACAGAACUCAGCAAAAGCUUCCAUACAACAGAUUUUGAAAAUGAUGAUGCCAAUAGAUACUCAUUCAAUCCAUUGAAAAUCCAAAGGUUCAUUGUUAGAUCACGAGCAAGAAACAAAAUGGAGACACGCAAUAUGAAUAUGGAGAAAAUUUGAACUCAAAUGAAAUGAGGGCACGAAAGCAAACACAUGGCAUGCGCAAACAAACCAAGCCUCAAUCAAAAACUAAUUAACCAUUAAGAAAAAAAAACUGGUCAGAGAAUGAACUCCAAAUUCGGGAGUGAAGCAAGAAGCUUUCAUUAUUUCAGAAGCUCCUGUACAAAUUAAUAAGUUAUGCUCUUUGGAAACAAACCUAAAUUCCAAGAGAAACAGAACUCAAAAAAUUUGCAAUUAUACGCAAAGGAAGUGAAGCACAGCAUUCUAUCACACGUACGAAUUGUACAACAAGAGAUCGACACAUCGAAUCAGAAGAACUCAAUUCAAAUUUGUCUCAAAAAUCAAAAUUAGAAGAUUUCACAUUUCGAGAGGAACAAGCGACAGGUCAGAUGCAAAAUUUUCAGCCACAACAUGGCACAAUUAACGGUUUAUUUCCAUGGAUUUAGAGAGAUCGCGCGCCAAAAUGGAAGAGGGAAAGCGAAAGUGCGGGUUUUAAUAGGGUAUUGGAUUAGCAAAUUUUAUUAGUUUGCGAGGGUAAAAUAGGAAAGAUAUAUCACUAUUAAGCUUUUUUUUUAAUAAAAAAAAGAAUAAUAAAGAAUAUUUUAUUGUCAUUUGCAGCAUUUAAUUUUUUUUUUAAAUGCUAUUAGAAAAAUACGACAAUAAAGAAAUGCUCUUUUUUUUUUUUUUUUUUCUGGAAGGUAAAAUCAAUUAUUUAGCUCCUUAUAUGUAAUCAAACUCCAUUUCUUACUUUAAGUCAUAUCCAACGGACCAACAAAGUAAUUUUUUUUUUUUCAUUCAUUUUUGCAGAAAAUUAAUAACUUAAAAAUAUUGAAAGCUAUUCUAAAAUUUUUUAUUAUCAACCUCAUAGUUUAAUUUUUUUGGGGAAGAAUUGAAUUUUUUUUUUUAAUUUCCAAGAAUUUCAUUCUCUAGUUUUUCCAUUAAUAUUAUUUAUCUUGAUACCCAUCUUAAUUAAAAUCUGUAGUUUUAUUCAAGAGUCAUGCUAUUCAUUCACUCACAGGCAAAAGGCUUUCCGCAGCAAUAUUAUUAUUUAAAUUACAACAAAGGGGAAAUCAAAUACGUCAUACAGAAGCAUAAAGCUGAAUCUACAAAAUCUAGAGCUCUCAACUACAUAAAUUACACUUGAUGACCCUCUACAAGAUGAAGCUUGUUCAAUAUCUCAUCCAAAGCUUGUAAAGUAACCCUGUAACGAUCUUGAGAUUGCCUGCCUUCCUCGACGACCUGCACGAUGCGUUUGUACAAAUCAUCAUACCUGUGCACCGGAUUUUUAAUAUCAAUGGCACUGCAGCUGUGAUCAAGAACAUAAGAGCGUUUAACGUCUUUUCUCCAUCGAGAAAGAAUGUACUGAGAUGGGAUCUCCUCCAUGCCACUCUGGUUUAAAACACAAAGAAUGUGUCUGCAUAAAUAUCCUCUGAAAUUGAACAACCCACAAACACAAAGCACCUCCAAGUCAGAGGCAUUGUACAAAACAUCGAAAGCCCUUGAAUCUUUCUCGUUGCUACCAACCUCAAAUUCUUCUUUCACUAUGUAUGUUAUAGGUCCAUCAGCACUGACAUGUUUUGUGCUAUAGCAAGAGUACAUAGCCUCCACCUCCGUCUGAAACUUCCUUAACAUUUCAUUUGUGUACAGUUGUGAGAGUUGAAAUUCAUAGUAACAUCUUGGUUUCUGGAUACAACUUGAAUUUCUUGGAUCCAUAUCUGCCAAGGCUUCCAGUUGAUAAUUCGCCUGCAGUGCUUGAUCAUACUUGUCUAAGAAUUCUUUCAAAGGAGUAUUCUUAUGAAGAUAUCCUUCAAAGUAUGAAGUAGAAACCUCAUUCUGCAGGAACGAAAACACUCCUGAUAAAAAAGCUUCCUUCAAAUAAAUAGGAGCCCACCUUUUACGAUCUUCAUAUAACGUUUGAAUCCAUCCGUGAUCCUUUAUUCCAUGACGUUGAAUCAUGUCUUCCCAAGCUGCUUCAAAUUUCUCAGGCCAGAGAGAGUGAUAAAUUGCUCUAUGUAAUGCAGCUUUAAUAGCUUCAUAUUCAAACAAUCCUUGGAGUUUCUCUGGAAUUUUUUGCAUGAUGCAUGACAAUGAAAAGCAAUGAUAAGCUCUUGGGAAAACAUCGCCAGCAGCAAUUUGCAAGAUUCUACAUUGGUCAGUGAUGAUUGUUUGUGGAGAGCGCCCUAACAUACAUGUAAGCCACGCCCUAAACAACCAUGUCUAUGAUUCUAUGGUCUCACUGGCAAGUAAACCACAACCCAACAACACUGAUUGUCCAUGAUGAUUCACCCCAAUGAAUGAAACCAGUGGUACAUCAUAUCUUUCAGUCAAGCACGUAGUAUCAAUUAAGACUACAUCACCAAAGUACCUAUAUGCAACUCUUGACCUGAUAUCAGUCCAGAACAGGUUUCUCAAGCAUCCCUUUUCAUUUAGUCCACUACAUUAAAAAAGUUUGGAUCUGUCAACUGCAAACGACAAAAGAAACUCUGGAUAGCUUGUGCAUCUCCUGGUUUAAGCUUCAAUUGAUUUGAGCUAUUAACAUUAUUUCCAAAUACUCCAUUAACAUCUACAUUACCAUUUCCCUCGGUAUCAAUGAUAAGAGUUCGAAACAGUUUAAUUUUUUGAACUUCUUCAGCACUAUCUAAAUGCAAUGUUCUUUUGGUUCCAAUACCUAUGUGCUUAUGUGACUUGUAAAACUUUCCACUUCUUGGGCUUAACAAGUGGUUAUGCUCAAGCUCGACUUCAAUGAUUCUCCACCUUUUGGUUUCCAUCAACCUAAACUUUAUCAUUGCUGGACAGCCAGUUCUUGUUUCUGGUCUUGGGCGGUUUGCCUCGCUUUUCUUCUUGAAGCCUGCACUACUACAGCUCAGCUUUCCUCUAUACUUUACUCUUUUGGUACCAUGUAUUGCUAACUCUAACACCAAAACCAUGUUCCUUGGCAUAGCAAUUGUAAAAGUAAAAUACAUCAUCAUACAUCUCAAACUCCAUUCCAACAGCAGGAGGCAAGGGAUUUUGGAUUAUCCCAGUUUGUCCAACAUAUUCAGUCAUCGCACAAUCUCCUACGACCUCAAAAUCAUCAGUGUCAUCAUCACCUACUGGUUCGGUGUUGAGAGAAACUUCAUCCAUCUACAAUGGAUGUUCAAUGAAGUGAGCUUUAAGGAGAAAAAGCAAAAUCAGUUCAAGGAAUGAUAAUAUAAUCAUAUAGUUACUUUCACAAAGCUUCAUAUUUCAUCACUGCUUUACCAACAUGCAACUGCCAGAGAACAAACAGACAUGUCAUAGACGCUUGAAUUAAGUAUUUGUACAAAUGAGCACACAUCAUGUGGGACAAAAUUUCAGUCACUAAACCCAAUACCACUUUUUACAUCAUACCAAGGAACAGAUUAAACCCGACACCUUCUUUUAAACCAUACCAAGGAACAGAUUAAAUCAUCAAUGAAAAAUUAAUCACAUAAUAACUUAACCAGACAAAUGAAGAGCCUGAAACAGCACAAAACUUGAAUAUGAUUAUGAUAAUUGUUGAGUCCUUGUAUCUACAGCUUUCCUUCAAUGAUAAGACAAUGAACAUAAACGAGAUGCAAAAAAUUUAUUUUAAGCUGACAGCCCAUGAUAUAAAUCAAACAAAAUCAACUCCUUUUUUUACACAUCACAUCUCAUAUUCAUUUACAUUGAAACACAAAAAGGAAGCAGGAGUGGGAAAAAAACAACAGCAGAGGAACUUAUUUCCAUAAGGUUUACGAAAUAAGGAAUCUAUUAAAACCCAAAACUUGAGGUCACCACUAAGAAUUUCGUUCUCAUUAUUUUUUUCUUCAUUUUUCACCAAUGAUGAACUUAAAAUACAAUCAUAAAUGAUAAAACCCCAUCUCCAUCUUUUUGAACUAGAGCUAAAGCAAAGCAUUUUAAGAUGUUUCAUCAUUUUUUUUAAAAAAAAAAACCUCAAUAGUACAAUGUUUUUCAAUGUUAAAUGCACAAUUCAAUCUUCUCCUAAUUUACUCUAAUAAUCUCUUAAUUAAGGAAGAUUAAGCUUCAGUUGUAAGCUAAAACAAAUUUCUUAAAUCAAGCCCCAAUGCUUUAUGCUAUUCAACAAGGGCUCAUAAAUGAUAAAACUACUUCUACAAAGAUACCCAUUUUCUAAAUUAAUUUCACAAACUGAAAUCAAACUCCUGAAACGUAACGAGCAUUAAUAUAAUCAAACCCGAACAAGAAUUGAAAAACGACACAUAAACUCGUUUACACAUUUUGACAGACACUUUGCAAUCAAUGAGCAAAAAAUUAAUGGAGAAGAUAAAAUUCAAACGAAACAUGCCUUACAUUGAUAAAUUAGAAGGGCAAAAGAAAUUUUAGUAAGAUAUGGGAUCAGGGUCUUGCCACGGUGAUGUUAUUUGUGAUGUUCGAGCGACUCAGCAGCCUUCGAGGUUGAAAAUUUGAUUGACCAAAAGCUUCCCGUUCGUUGAUUCUCUAAUAGCAGAAACGAGACUGGCAGUAUACACAACAAGUUCGCUGAUUUUAAAUUCCGUUGUUUGAGAUGGAAAUUUUUUUUGAAAAAAUUAAUGUGUUCGAUGAAUAUCAAAAUCUAAAAAACUUUUUGUUUUUCAUUUUUUUGGAAAAAGCCAUUGAGAUCCUUACUAUUUUUUCUUAUAUCAUCUUGCUUAAUAAUUUGCAAAGUCUAUCGCAUAGCACCCAUGCAUGAUGUAUGCUGCGUUGUAAUUUACAAAAUUGCACAUGAAUAAAUCCAGCUAAAAUUUGUUAAAAGAAAAUAAUAAUAACAUGUUAAAACUUAAAAAUUUGAUUAUUCGAAGAAAUUUUAAUUUAGUUAAGUAGGUGACAUGAUAAUAAAUAGAUACGUAUAAUGUCCGAGAUUUUUAUAAGAUUAAUAAAUAUGAUAAAAUUAAACAUGCAAAUAUACACACUAAUUUAGAUGUGUGAAUAACAAAUAUGGAACGACACAUGCAAAGUCAUCUGUAUAAUUGAAACGCCAUGCACUAGUAGUAGGUAAGAGAAACCAAGGUUGAAGUUGCUCCAAUGGUUACUGUUCAUUUAUUUUUAUUUAUGAUUUUUAUGUAAAAUGUAAGAAAUAUGUAGAAAUGUUGCCAGCAAUGAUUUUGGAACUUUGCAUAAAAUUUUUAUCAUUAUUGUUUUUGGUAUUAAGAAAUCCGAGGCGGUGAUUAGACGUAUGUUGCAACAAUUAAGAAAUUUCUUAUUGGAGAUAAUUUGGUAGGUUGCAGCAAUUAGAGAAUAAUUUUCCUGCCGGUUAAUCAAUCAAUAAUAAAUUUCAAAUUGCAGAAAAUAAAAUAAUACUGUCGCACUUAGAAUCAUAUUUUCUAUCUCUUUCAAUUGUGGCAAUCAUUUGUAACAAAUAAAUCAAUUUGAUGCACAUCAUUUCCCCAAUUCAAAGUUCAAGUCACUGCUCAAUUGCAGAGUAGUUAGUAGACAUGCAUGCAUGUUUAAUUAAGUACUGCAUUGUAGUAUCGAAAAUCAUAACAUCUCACCAAGCCCAGAAACUAUGGGAAACAUGAUCUCACUCUCAGUGUCACUUGAUUCCAUUUUCUGUUCUUGCCUUGAUUUCGAUGUUGGGAAUGUGACGUCUGAGUCUAAGGUUGAAGAUAAUCUCGAUGCCUUGCGGACUGCAAUGGAAAAAUAAGCGGAAACGAGAAAUGAUGUGAUAAUAUUUACAAAAGAAUGGAUCGAGUGCAGGGCUGGCUUUCAAGGGUAAAAGCUGUGGAAAAUAAAGCUGAUGAUUUGAUGAGACACAGCUCUCAAGAGAUUGAGAAGUUAUGCCUUGGAGGCUUCUGUUCCAAGAACUGCAAAUGAAGCCACAGCCGUGGGAUAGAAGCUGCUACAAUGCUACGAGUUGUGGAGACUUUAAUGGGUGAAGGAUCAUUUGAAUUGGUGGCUGAGAGGGUGCCAGAAGAUGCAGCAGAGGAGAUAAAUUGUGAGUCAACAAUAAUGGGCAUGGUGUCGACUUUUGAGAAAGCCUGGAGAUGCCUUGAAGAAGAAUAAGUUGGAAUUAUUGGCCUAUAUGUCAAUGGGAGAGUUGGAAAUAUUUACUCAAAUCAACAAGAAGUUCCUUGAUAGUCCAAAUAAUUUUGAUGUUGCAAUCUGGGUAGUGGUCUGCCAAGAUUUGCAACCCCAGAAGUUUCGGGAAAAGAUUGGGAAAAAGAAAGGCUUGUUCGAUGAGUCAUGGAAGAACUGAAGUUUUGAAGAGAAAGCACUCGAUAUAUUCAAGAAUUUAAGCAAGAUGAAGUUUGUAUUACUGCUGGAUGAUAUAUGGGAGCAGGUUGAUUUAAUUAAAAUUGGUGUCCCUCUUCCAAGCACAAAAAUUACAUUCAAGAUAGUCUUCACAGCUCCUUCUAUUACAUUUGUGGCCUCAUGGAAGCUCACGACAAGAUUAAAGUGGAGUGUUUAAAUGACGAAGAAGCAUGGGAAUUAUUCUGCAAGAAGGUUGGAGAAGAUGUGGCGACUCUGUCCAAGUGCUAAGGAGCUCAGCCUCAGAAUUUCUAGGUACGGAAAAAUAAGUAUAUCCUCUUUUGAAAUUCAGUUAUGAUAAUUUACCUAGUGAUAAAAUUAGAUCGAGUCUGUUAUACUGUAGUUUGUUUCCAGAAGACUUUCCAAUUAGCAAAAUGGAAUUGAUACUGAGAUAUGAAAUCAAGGAUACUACAUUAUUGGUGUUCUUGUUCCUUUAUGUUUAUUGGAAGAAGAGGCUCCACUAUAUGUAAAAGUGCAUGAUGUGAUACGCGAUAUGCUUCUGUGGAUCGCAUGUGAAUUUUUUUUUUUUUUUUUGAUAGGGAUAGUAUGUGAAGUUGAGAAGGAGAAAGAGAAUUUUUUGGUUCGUGCAGGUGCAAGGAUUAACUGAAGUACCAGACAUUUGGAAAUGGGAAGGGUUGAGAAGGGUGUCUUUGAUGAGCAACAAAACUGAGAAGUUAUCAGAAAUUCCUUCAGAUCCCCAUCUACUGACUUUGUUGCUUCAACGUAAUUAUUUAGAGAUGAUCAAUAAUGACUUCUUCCAAUCUAUGCAUUCCCUUAGAGUUUUGAACUUAUCAUGUAAUCGUUCUCUAACUGAUAAUUUCAAAGUUAGUUUCCCUACAACAUCUUAAUUUAUCAAUGACUAACAUACGAGAGUUGCCGAUUGAGUUAAAGUUUGUAGUGAAUCUUAAGUUUUUGAAUGUGGAGUAUGCACGGUUUCUUCAUUCAAUUCCAGGGCAAGUGAUAUCCAGUUUUACGAUGUUACAAGUUUUGAAGAUGUUUGGUUGUGGCAGGUCAUCUUCUGAUCGUGAGCCACACCAGAAGAUAGCGUUUUAUUUGGAGGCAGUAAACUUUUGAUUGCGGAGUUGUUUGGUUUGAGAGACAUUUAGAUUUGUUGACCAUCAUCCUAAGAAGCUCCCAUGCUCUGAAAGAUUUUUGAGCUCCAACAAACUUCAAAGUUGUACUCAAUCUCUCUAUCCUAAAUGCUUUGAUUCGAAGUCAGUUGAUGUUUUUGGCCUGGCUGAUCUGAAGCAUCUCAAUAGGCUAUAGAUAUUGCGAGUUGUAAGCUUUUGGAAGAAGUGAAGAUUGACUUUGUUGGGAAAGCACAAUGAACCCAUGGUUUUCACAGCCUUAUGUCACAGAAGUUGUGUAAAUACUGCACGGGUUGCUGCCAUCCCAUGACAUUGAGCCAUGUUGAAAUAUCAUUUUGCUGUAAACUGAGGGAUCUGACAUAGCUUGCUUUUGCUCCAGGCCUUCUUGUUGUUUCCAGAAAACAUUGCCAUGAUAUAGAAGAAAUACUCGGUGUUGGAAAAUUAGGUAAAGAGAUGAUGUCAAACCUGGAACCUCCUACAAAACUCCAAGGUUACGUUUGUCAUGUGGGAUUGGAUUGAACUAAAUUAUUAAGAUUGAAUUAAAUUGAAUUAUAUUUAUAUUCUUAUGUUUAGUACCGGAUUGAACUAUAUUAGAUUAUAUUUAAAUAAUAUUAAAUAGUAUUUAAGUUGGUAUUUUAAUAUAAAUAUCAAUUAUCCAUGAAAUUUUAUAAUCAUAAUUAAAAUAAAUUUAAAAAGUAAUUACUAGGAAAAUUAAAUAUAUUGCAAAAAGUUAUUGGGUAGUCAUAAUAUAAUAAGCAAAUAAAAUUAAAUAAAACAAAUUAAAUAUUUAAUUAAUUUUUAUCAAAUAUUUAAAAAUAUUAUAUAAAAUCAAUUAAUUAAUGGUUUUAUUAAUUUUCAUGAUUAUUUUUAAUAUUACAUUAGUGAUUAUUAAAUUUAAUACAAUCAAAUAAUGCAAUAAAUAAUUAAACGUUUAAUUUUAUCGAUUAAUUAUUAAAUAUACAAGUAAUAAAAAUUUAAUCUCAGGAGUUGGUAGAAGCAAAAGUACUAAUUUAAUUACAUCAUAGAUAAUAAAUAAAAAUAAAUUCUAAGUAAAUCAUAAUAAAAAAAUUAAUUAAUUGAUUCAAUCAAUCAAUAUUAGGUGUAAAUAAAAAAAGAGUAAUGAUAUAGCCACAAACUCUUGCACAAACUUAUUUUGUACAAACUCAUGUGUCAUGAUAAGAUUAAUUAAAUUAAAUAUCACUUGACCUACAUGAUUUAUUUUUAUUAUUUUAUAUUUUCAUUCAACCAAUGAAUUAACGCCACGUCAGUUUGUAUAAGAUAGGUUUGUACAAGAGUUUGUGGCUGUAUCGUCGCUUAUAAAAAAAAAUAUAAAUAAAAAUAUCAUAAAUAGACAACUUUUAUCUUUAAUCUUAUUCCAACUAAACACAUGUGUAAAUUAGAAUUAUUAAUCCCAUGAUUUUAAGAUUAAAUUCAAAUUUAUUCCCCCUUAAUCCAAUCCAACUAAACUUGUCAAACAUGGGAUAAAAAUUUAAUUCUAAAAUUAGUACAAUUCCAUAUUUAAUCCUAACAUCCAAAUAUAGCCCAAGUUGUUUGCUUAAAGAAGCUACCAAAUUUGAAGAGCGUUUACGGGAAGGCCUUGCGUUUCCCAGAUGUAUGCAGAAUUUUUGUAUCUAAAUGCCCAGAACUUAAGAAGCUGACGCUGGAUUUGAAAGGGCGGGCCAAGGUAAAAUUCUUAUCAAGUGAAAGGAAAAUCGGUGGGAACAACUUCAAUGGGAGGAUCAAGCAACUCAGGAUGCAUUGCUUCUGUUUUUCAAAUCAACUGACAAGUGAUUGAAGGGGCCAUCAUCAGCCUGGAUGGGGAGAUCCUGGAGCAGAUCAGCAGGGUUUGAAUCUGCAUCAUCAACAUCAUCAGGAUCUCUAUUUCUAUUGCUGGUCGUAAUGCCUGCCUACUGUUGCUUGAAAAAGUGAUUAAGUGAGCCAGUUUUUUGUUUAUUAAAUUUUGUCUUGUGGAGACAGUCACAAAGUAUUUUUCAAUUAUGAUAUUCUGUGGGAAAUUGCAAGUAUUUUCAAAUAUGAUCGUUACUAAAGGAAACAAAGGAAUCAACACAGCAUACUGAACCUCAGCAGUAUGAAGCUAAUGAUUAAACUCCUCACACAAUUCAUGACAUGCAAAACCAUUCACAAAAUCAUCCACAGCAACCAUAAUUGGCGUUUACAAGAAUUACUUUUCUGUUCAUGCAAUCGGCGUCUGAACGCGGCUGAUCGGUCACCAGUGUUGGCGUUUACUGUGAUUAGACAAAUUGUAGGACUUCAAAAAUAACUUCUAUAGAGGUAAUUUCGAUUUCACAUAAUUAAUUUUAGGGAAAUUUACACUCGUCCACCUGUUUGUUUUGCCUUUUUCAAAAAUACACAAACACUUUUUUUUUUUUGCAGCGCGUCACCUGAAGUUUAUUUUUUGUUGCAUUCAUUCACUUCCGUCUAAUUUCCGUUAGUGGAUUUAACGGAAUGUUAACGAAAUGACCUUUUUACCCCUCAAAAUUAUAAUUUAACCCAAAAUAAAUGGAAAUUAGAGAUAAAUUAGGUGGAUUUAAUUUUUUUUAAAGGUGGAUACUAGAAAUUGGAGGAAAAUAGUGUUUGUUGCUUGCUAAAUUUAGAAAAUUUGUAUUUAUUUUUUUGAAAGACAAAAAAAUAAAUACACAAAAAAAAUAAAUACACAAAAAAUAAAUACAAAUUUUCUAAAUUUAGCAAGCAAUAAACACUAUUUUUCUCUAAAAAAAUAAAUAUAAAUUUUUUAAAUUUAGCGGGCAACAAAUAUUAUUUUCCUCCAAUUUCUAGCAUCCACCUUUGAAAAAAAUUAAAUCCAUCCAAUUUAUUUCUAAUUUCUAUUUAUUUUGGGUUAAAUUGUAAUUUUGAAGGGUAAAAAGGUCAUUCCGUUAAAUUCACUAAUGAAAAUUAAACGGAAGUGGACGAAUGCAACAAAAAGUAAACUUCAGGUGGCGCACUGAAAAAAAAAAGUGUUUGUGUAUUUUUAAAAAAGACAAAACAAACGGUGGACGGUUAUAAAUUUCCCUUAAUUUUAUUUACAAUAUUUUAUGCCUGCUAGGUCAAUUGAGAUUCUUUCCACCGGGCACACUCUUCAUGUUCUUUUAUUUUCUGUCUUUUAUUAGACGUUGGAUUUUACUACUCUUUUAUCCAACGGCUUGCCACAACAAGACAAAUGAGGUGGUACAUUCAUUUUAUGUCCUUUCAUGUUUUUGAAUUACUGAAGACAAGUGGCUCGUCGCUUUUACUGUAGGUAAGAUCCAAAUUAUCUCGAUUAUCAAAAUAAUUAUUUUAAAAUACCUUAAUUGUUUUUAUUUUUAUGUUGCCGGAAUCAGAAUGAGCUGAAAUCAGAAUGAGUAAGAAUAAAAAUUGACUGAAAUGUAAAUAAUGAAUGAGAAUUAAAAUAAAUUGUUUACUUAAACUAUAAGAAUCCAAAUCAAAAUGAUUGCCAUUAAUGUGUUUCCUUUGUCUUGAAAUCGGAAUCAUAAUGAAUUAAAUUGUAACAAAUUAUUAAAAAGUACUUAAUAAAUUAUUAUCAUAAUUAUUAUUAAUUAAUUGUAAAAUUUUUUAAUUAAUUAUAAUAAUUAUAAUGAUAUUCGGCCACCACGAGACCAUAACGAAGCCAGAAACACAUGCUUCUUCUGCCGUUUCGAAGUUUUAAAUUUAAAAAUUAAAAACACAAUUUUCCAUUGAAAAAUAUCAAAAUUAAAUCUAAAGAAUUUGAAAAAUCCAAAAUCCUUACCCGUCCCUCUCACUGUCCCUCUUAUUCGCUUAUUCUCUCUCUCUCUCUCUCACUCACCCGAUCUAGGGAUGGGCACGGUUCGGUUCGGUUCGAAAUUAAGUAGAACCGAUUUAAAUCGGUUAUUUUAUAAAAAGAACCGAACUCAAUAAGAACCGAACUCAAACGGUUCUUUUCGGAUCGGUUCGAUUUGGUUCGGUUUUUUCGGUUUUGGGCCUAUUUUGAAUUUUUAAAAUUUUAGUCCAUUGGGCCUCAUGAAUGUAAUAAUUUUUUUCAAUAAUUAAUUUAUCCUAAUUUUAUUACAAAUAUUAACAAUAAAUACAAAGUAUUCAAAACACAGUUUAUCACUAAUAUCUUACUAACUAUUAAUAAGAUACUCCCAAAUAUAUGAAAUAUUAAAAUUUCAAAAUACAUAACCAAACUCCAAUACUCCAUCUAUAUAAACAUAAUCAUAAUGUUAUAAAGAGAAAUAACACAUGUUUGAUUUGAAUAAAAUCAAAAAAUAAUUUGGUUUUUCGGUUCGGUUUUUCGGUUCAGCUAAGUGAAUCGAAUACCGAACCGACAUUUCGGUUUUUUUUACAAACGGUAUAUUCGGUUUUUUUUAAAAAUAAAAAUCGAACCGAAUUAGAAAAAACCGUCGGUUCGGUUCGGUUUUUUUAAGACUACGGUUUUUUUGCCCACCCCUAACCCGAUCUGCCUCUUUUACUCACCCACUAGCAGGCUGUCACUCACCCACAAAACUUGUCACGCCACGGCCAUUGUUGACCAGCCAUCAUCGCUGUCACGCCACGCCCAUUGCCGACCAGCCCAUCACUGAUCACAUCGCCGUUGACGGUGUGCUUGACGAUUUUGGACCUUUUUCACCUACGUAGGUAAUUAAAUUUAGCAUGUUGAGGAAAGUUUUGAUUUAUUGUAUUUAUAUUUUAAAAUUAUUAGAAAUAAGUUAUUGGAAAUGUAGAUUUUGUUUGAAUUAUAUAUGAUUAAUACAAUUUAUUUUUCAUGGUAUAAAAAUGAAGGAUUUGGAAAAAAAACUACAAAGUCGAAGAUUUUGAAGAAUUAGAUUAACAACAAUUUAAAUGGAAAUAAUGAAAAAACUGAUAAUGAUGUGGAUGUGAAACCAAAAAAGUAUGAGCCAAAGUUUGGGAUGUUGUUUGAUAAACACCAUUAUCUUCUUAUGAGCCAAAAAAGGAAGAAUUAGAUGACAACAAUUAAGGUAAGAUUAAACUACUUACUUAAUUAUUCUACAAUUAAUUUAAUUUUAAUUUUAAUGUAUCUUUUUAUGGAUUUGCAGGAUUCAAAUGUACAAACACCAUUAUCUUCUGAGGUGGAUAUUGUAGUCCCAACGCAUGAGAGCAAUAAGGAUCCUGUAAGUUUUAUGUUCUUUGAUGUAAUACUAUUUAAUUAUUUUAAUUUUUAAUGGUCACUAAAUAAUGGUCAUUAUUUAAGAACCUGUGAUCGCAUACCAAUUACAAGGAUGUGAUAUUUAUCCAUGGUUUCCUUUUGAUUCUUACAUUGUAAGUUAUAAUCCAAUUUCUAUAUUUAUGCCUAGUUAAUUUUGCAUUUUCUGGAAUGUAAUAUGGUUCUUAUUUUGUACAAACUAGCAAUCCCCAUCACUCCCAUCUAUGUUGCCUUAUUCUUCAUCUUGGAUAUCGUAUAAAGGUUCUCAACAAAGGAGUUUUCAGUAAUCGCUACUUCAACAGAAUGAUAAUAACAAAGAAGUUUGAAGCAGACUUAACAGAUUGAUCAUUGACUUAUUCUUUUGUUGUGUUUUGUGUAUUAGUUGGUUGGAUGAUAUUACUCUAGUGCUCAAUGAUUGAACGUGGAAAUAUUUUGAAGGGUUUUUAUCCAUAUAUUCAAAGGGUUAAGUGUGUCAAUAACCAUUACAACAAUAAGAGUAGUUCAUAUAGAAAUGUCAAAUUAACCACACACAAAAGAAAAAGGUACAAAUAACUUAUUUCUAGUAAUUUUAAAAUAUAAAUACAAAAAAAAACCAAAUACUUUUCUAAUCAAAGUAUCACAUACAAGGUUUCGUAAAGGCCGUGUCAAAAGAAUUUCUUUAACUGAUUAAAUAUACUAAUUUUAGGUGACAAUAAUCUAAUAAUUUUAAACUAAAUUAACUUAAUUUCGCGAAAAAAAAUUCAAAAAACGCAUAGAAUUACGGAUCAAGUCUAAUUAACAAUCAAACGUAGUAACUCAGAUGCAUUUAUGCCAAAAAGAAUGUUCAUAAGACUACACAAAACCACCCAAAAAAAAUUAUAAAAUAAUAAAAGCAGCAGCUGCAAUAGAUUUUGCCUGAACAAGAAACACAACAAAACAAAGAGAAUAAAUCAAUCAAGGGCAUAAAUAGAUUGAACAAAAAAGGGCAAGAUCAGAGAAGAAACUGACCCACGACACUGGAUCCUCCUAAGCCUAGCGUCAUGGUUGCGGUUUUGAUGAUGCGUUAGCUGAGGUCUGACCAAAAUAUUGACAGUGACCUUGUGGGUGAGUGAGAGGUGAACGAGCUUCGUGGGUGAGAGUGAGAGCCGAGAGGGACAGAGCGGGUGAGAGAGAGAGAGGGUGAGUGAGGGGAGCGAUAAGAAUUUAGAUUUUUUUAGUUUGUUUUGAUUAGCUUUUAUUAUUUUUUAAUGGUAAAAUUUGUUUUUAAUUCUCAAAUCUAAAAUUUCAAAACGGCACAUACGCGUGUCGUUUCUGGCUUCCCUCUGUAACGAGGGCGGCCGAAUAUCAUUUUUUAAAUCAUUAUUUUAAAAUGGGUCUACAUUGCAACAGUAGUACGAUCCCAUUAUUAUUUUCAGUCAUUAAAUUUUAUUAAUAUAAUUAUAUAAUUAUAAAUUUAAUAAUUAAAAACAACAAUAAUAAUAUACUGUUGCAAUAUAAUUUUGACCUUUAAAAUGCCUUAAUUGUUUUUACUUUUAAUGUUACCGGCCUUUCUUAUAUUUUAUUAUAAAUUAAUACUAACAAGAAAAAGCUAGAUCAUUUUCCACAAAAAUAAAAGUGACAAAACAAUCAGCUAGAUUCUUUUAUUAAACUAUAAAUUAAAACGGAUUUUUUUUUAAUAAACUACAUAUGAAAGUGGAAUCUUUUGAAUAUAAGUGAGUAGGCUCUCUUUUUUUAAAAAAAAAAAACGGGGUAGGUUCUUUUAAUAAAGACAAGUCAUAAGUAUUAAGUAGUCACGACCAUUAGACUCUUUUAUUAGGACCUGUCUAUGGUACAGAUUCUGUAACAAACAUCUCCCGUCAUACCACCAUCCGAUCUUCUAUUGUUUAGUUUCUCACUUCACAUCCAACGGCUGAUGCUGCAGUCUGUAGCUUACAGAUUCUGUAAGCUAGUCAAGUCCCUUUUAUUAAAUUACAAAUUGUAGGAGGUUGCUACGUUACAGAAUCUGUAACAUACACAUUCAAUGGGAAGCAGCACACGUGUCCUGAAGAGAGAGAAAAAUCGGGCAAAUGCAGGCAAUGGCGGGUAAUGGGAGUUGGCUAAAAGUUGGAUAUGCAAAUUUACAAAAGAGUACUGCUAUUUACUCCGAAUGCUAACUCUGAAUUUACGCCCCGAGAGAUAAAACGACGUCGUUUUUUUUUUUUGCUUUGUAAUUUCAGCCAAAAAAGGUGGGCAGCACGUGGGUGAGCAUAUGCUUCAAUUAAUUUGGAACCAAAACGACGUCGUCUGUUCCUGCUUAAUCCUUCGUUUUGCUUUUCUUUCCAACCACAACGCUCGGCACCCAAAACUUCCACAAACUGCAAACUGCAAAACAUUUCCAUAUGCUAGCUCUUUAUGCAUGUGACCAAACACAACUUUCAUGUGUCUGUCUGCUUGUGUAUAUAGGAUGGAAACUUAUAUGGGUUUCUCCAAUCACCUGAAUGAUUGUAUUCUCAAAUGUUGCUUGUGGAUUCAUGGGAUUUGCUGUUCCAAAUGAUUAUGUUGAAGUCUUGACACUGAUUUGGGAAGGCUGUUGGUUUUAAUUUUGUUAACUAUUAGAGAUGUAGUACUUCUUGCAUGUCUAUUUCUUUUUCUUUUUUUGUCUUCCCUCUAAUUUAAUCAAUUUUAAAUGCACUAGAUGCCACAUGCUUUGUCUGCAUAUUUGUCUCUGGGCAUAGUCUGAAGAUGCUUUUGCCAACACAGAGCUGAUUUAGGGAAUGCCCAUGGAGCACUUGUAAGUGCCUGCUUUUCCAUAAAUCACAAAAUUUUAACAUGUCAAAACUUAAUGAUUCGUGAAAGUUGAAUGCUGAAUUUGAACGCCAACUUGUACAUGGGCUUUGGCAUACAGCAGCCAACAACGGUUCCUCAACGUAAGCACUUGUUUGAAACGCGUUUUUAUUUGCAGGCGCAAGAACUAUUGCUGCUGUUUGCAAAACAAAAAGUGAUUGCAAAACAAAAAGUAAAACGAAAGGAAAAGGUGUUUCGAUUGUAGUUCGUCAAAAUGAGUCCAAAAGAAAAGAAAAAAUGCGUCGAAACGGUGCGUUUCCUUUUAAUUUCAAAACGGCACGUUUCAUUCGGGGUGUUAGUCGAGGCGCAAGUCGGGACAAGCAGCUUCUUCCUUUAUAAAAUCUGUAACUUAAGUCAGCUCCCAAAUUGUAUAGUCUUUUUUCAAAUUGUACAGACAUUUAUAAAUUGGUGGCCCCUUGGAAAUUUAAUGCCAAGCAGACAAAAGUCAUCAUGCACAAUCCUCAAUAAUUAUUUCGCGUAUAUUUAUAAAUUGGUGGCCCCUACGUCCUCAAUAAUUGUUCAGAUACUUAUAAAUUGGCGGCCCUUGAUAAUUUAACAGCAGCUUGCAAGUGCCAACUAGUGAAAAGUCAUCAUUCACAAUCUUCCAAAUGAACCAAGGGACAUACAAAGAUUAAGACAUGUCAUUCUUUUUUCAUUCCCUUUCAUGUAACUUACAUCUAAAUACAUAAAUAAUAUAAAAUGAAUGGAGAGAUGCCGGAGCAUAUCAGCAGGGUUUGAAUAUGACCUUUGGCGCUUGUCUUUUUUUGUGAUUUUUUUUUUCAUUUUUUCCUUCCUGUCAUUUUAUCAUUUCUUUGGCUUUGUCUCUAUUGCGGGCGUUACUGCAUGCUUACUGUUGCUUGACAAAGUUUGCUAGCUUUUCCUUUUGUUUAUUAAAUUUUUUUAUCGUCGCAAAGUAUUACUCGUUCUAUUUGACAGUGAUGUGAAUCAAUUUUUCAAUUUUAUAUUUUAUCGUCAAUGUGAAUUCAAUUUCAUUUGUCAUCAUGCAUAAUCCUCAAUAAUUGUUUCGAUAUUUAUAAAUUGGUGGCCCCUGCGUCCUCAAUAAUUGUUCCGAUACUUAUAAAUUGGUGGCCCCUUAAUAAUUUAACAGCAGCCUGCAAGUGCCGACUAGUGAAAAGUCAUCAUUCACAAUUUUCCAAAUGAACCAGGGGAUAUACAAAUAUUAAGACAUGUCAUUCUUUCUUUUUUUUUGAGUGAAACAGAAAUUUACAAGAAUUACUUUUCUGUUCAAGAAAUCGGCGUCUAAACGCGGCUGAUCGGCCACCGGUGUUGGCGUUUACUGUGAUUAGACAAAUUGUAGGAAUUCAAAAAUAACUUCUAUAGGGGUAAUUUCGAUUUCACAUAAUUAAUUUUAUUUACAAUAUUUUAUUCCUGCUAGGUCAAUUGAGAUUCUUUCCACCGAAAACACCCCUCAUGUUCUUUUAUUUCCUGUCUUUUAUUAGCCGUUGGAUUUUACUACUCUUAUAUCCAACGGCUUGCCACAACAAGACAAAUGAGGUGGUACCUUCCAACCGGUGAAAGGUAGUUUUGGCCCCAAGUGGAACAAGGGAUGCACUUACUAUUAAGGACAGUUGGCGGCCAGCCAAUGCAUUCAUUUUAUGUCCGUUCAUCUUUUCAAUUGUUAAAGACAAGUGGCUCAUCGCUUUUACUACAGGUAAAAUUCAGAUAAUCUCUAUUAUGAAAUAAUAAUAUUCAAAAUAUCUCAUAAAUUAUUAUAAACCUCAAAUUUAUCUUAAUUUUAUUUAAAAAAUAAAAGAAAAAUAGGUUAUGUUGGUGAAUUUUUUUUAAUCUUUUUAAUAAAAAUAAAAUAAAUUGAUGUUUUAUAAUAGUUUAAAGUACUUUAAAGAUUGUAAUUUUAUGAGAGAGUAAUAUUUCACUUUUUUAGUGUAAAAAGUUGAAAAAGGACAAAGCAAGUUUCUCUGAUUUUUAUUUUAUUUGAAAUUAGUCAUCUCAUAUACUUCACCCUUCAACACUACAAUUUUUUUGGUUAUUUUUUUAUUUUUUUAUUUUUUACAUAUGCACGUGAAUUUCUUUUCUUUAAGCUCCUGAAUAUUUAAGACAAAUCAUAGAAGAGAUGAAAGUAUAAUAAGAUGAUCAAAAUACGUAACAAAAAUUUUUAGAAGUGAAACAUACGUUAGAGUUGAAGCAAAACUCCAAAAAUAGAGAUACUGAUUAAUUUAGAAGAGAUGCGAGCAAAAGAUAUUCCCAAACAAAAAAGGGCAACUUGUCCCUUUGGAGGGCAAACUUGUCAGUUUGAAAAAAGUACAUGCUUUGGAUUGAUAGUUGCUGGAUAUUUGUUUUGUCACUGUGUAUUAGUUGAAGAAGUCAAGCCUAGUCAAGAAUGUUGUGAAAGAGCAAAGGAUAUUCCCGAUAGAGCUCUAUUUCAUUAUGUAUCCAGUGAAUAGAUGUGUUGUUGGAAGAUAAGUGAGUGCAUUAGUUCAUUUGUGUCUAUCAAUUUGCUUUUAAUGAUUUUUCCACUUGUUUUGUUGUAAAAGAUUAUUGUAAAAUUAAAUGAAUUUGAUGUUGUAAUAUUUUGUCUUUAGUGGAAUUUCACUUGGUAUGUGUUCAAUUGUGUUGUCUAUAAUUUUGCAUUCAAAUAAGUUUCCACCUAAAAUAUUAGCACGAGUAGUAGCCCUUGAAACUUUAGUCAAAAUUAUUGUUAUAAUUUCUUAUUAGGGGUAAACUUUUUAUUAAACCUCGUUAACAUAAUUCUUAAUUAAUUGUGUGUUUACAUGGAAUAGGGAAUGAGAAUGGAGGAAUGAGAAUGAAACUCAUGUUUACUUGGUAAAAUGUAAUUUGGGAAUGAGAAUAAAAUGUGUGGGUUUUACAUAAUUUGGGAAUAAGGAAUGAGAAUCUCAUUCCCAUGAAGGAUUGAGAAUGAAAUAUAUGUUUACUUUUGUAUCCCUAUACUUUUUUUAUAUUUCCCAAAUUACCCUCAUUCAAAUCACAAUUAAUUUAUUAUUUUAAAUGUCAUUAAUAAUAAUAAUAAUAAUAAUAAUAAUAAUAAUAAUAAUAAUAAUAGUAAUUUUUAAAUUUUAUUAACUUUAUUAUCUUUGUGAUGUUGAACCAUAUACAUAUAUAUAGAGAAAAGUAAAAGCUAUACCUAAGGUUGAGGGAAAAGACUUCAAAACUCUCUUUUGAUUAUAAAACCUUUUGUCUUAAUUAACUUAAAGAUUUUGAAUCUAAUAUUUUAUAAUAAAUAAAAAUAUAUUCCUAAAAUAAAUAUAAUAAUAUCUAUUUUAAAAUAAUAUCAAUAUUUAAAAUAUGUUUUAAUAUUUUAUGCUCUAUCAGACAUAUUUUAUUAUAUUAAAGUAAAUUUAAUAAUAAAUACAAACAUAAUGAAUUUAUAAAACAUUUAAAGUAUUUUGAAUAUUAUAUAAAAUAAUUUUAAUAUAAUGCAUGAGAUAUAUUUUAUUAAUUUAAAAUGCUAUUUAACCUAAGAUUUAUUUAAGAUAAAUUAAUAAUUAAAUUUUUUAAAAUUAUUUCAAAUAUUAAAAAUUUGUAAUAUUAUUAGUCUAUUAGAUAGAUUAAAUUAUUUAUAUUAUUUUGUAUCUAUUAAAAAAUUUUAAAGUCAAUCUUUUUAAUUACUAUUGGAAGGAUAUAAUGAUUAAAAAAAUCUUAGUAUUUUUUUAUUAAAAAUUUAAAAAUUUACAUGACAAUUUCUAUAAAUAUUUAGGUCUCGUUUGGUAUGUCGGAUUGGAUUGAAUUGGAUCUGAUCGGAUUAGAUAAGAUAGGAUUUGAUUGGAUAAUACUGGAUUAUAUAUAAUAUUAUGUUGUGUUUGUUAUGCCAUGAGAUUAGCUAGUAACUAAUAAUAUGUCUUAUAUAUUAAUUUAUUAAAAUCAUCGUAGAUUUUGAAAUACUAACUAGGCAAUCCAAGAGGGGGGGUGAAUUGAGAUUUUAAAAAUUAAGCUAAGCAAACCACACACAAAUUCAAUCUAAUGCCUUAAUAAAUUCGAAAACAAUAAAUUCAAUGAAAGCACAAUAAUAAAUGAGCAAUGGAAGAGAAAGCAAACUCAAGGAUUUUUACAUGGUUCGGUAAUCCCCGCCUACGUCCACGCCUCCAAGCUCACCGGACUUGAGGAUUUCACUAAGCUAGCCUCCCAAGGCUUCAAACGCUUACAAUUGACUUCCAAGGUGUCAAUGAACCUUUACAACAAGAGAUUAUCCCCAAUCUCUUAACCCAAGUGUAUCCCAACACUUACAAUCACUCAAAGUAAAAGAUUACAAAUUGUUUUGCCUCUCACAAUAUAUAAGAUUACACAAUGAUGCUUAUAUAUAUGAAUAGAUGAAGCAAGAAUGUGUUCUAAUUAAGCUCUAUGAAGAUUGUAUUCUCGAAUAUUAGCUCAAUGGUCGUGUUGUGAUCAACCUUCUUUGAUUUUGAAUGAGCUUAUUUAUAUCUGGAGCUGAAAAACUAGCCGUUACAAACUGUCGGUCCGAAAACGGUUCGCCGUUAAUCAUUAACGGUUAACCGUUUAGGCUGGUCAAAAGUUACCGUUGGGCCAAAUUUCAAAUAAACGGUUUGCCGUUUAGGCUUACCCUUUCGUCGUUAAAUUUCAGAGACCUACAAAACAAAUUUAAUUUAACCGUUCUUACUAAACGGUUCAAGGUUAGCAAUCUGGAAAUAACCGGUUAACCGUUUUCAGUAAACGGUUCACCGUUAUUUUCCAAAAUCAUCAUUUUAACAAUACUUUGCAGAACAUGCUUUCUGUAAAUUAUCGGUUAGCCGUUUUAAAUAAACGGUUAGCCGUUUUAUACAGUGAUUGCUACAGUAAAAUUAUUUUUUAAAUUUAUAGUUUGACCUCAAAAUUUUAUAAAACUGUAUUACGGCCCAAAACGUUAUGAAACUUUGCACAUAUGUCCAAUUUCAGAAUUUUUAAAUAAUUCUUUGUCAAUCCCAAAACUUUUUGAAAUUAUGAUUUCACCCAAACUAUGUGAAAUUAUAGAAUGACCCAAAAUAUUUAAAUAGUUUCAAAUAUGUCCAAAUCUGAAAUUUUAAAACAAUAUCAAAGGUUUUAAAAUACUUUCAUUUUAGUUCAAAAUACUUUAAUUCCUUAACAUAAUUUUCUUAUUAUAUAUGAAACCUUUAUACUGUGAAAAGAAUGAUUUAUUUAAAAUAUAAAAAAAUAAUUUGAGCUUAAAAGAUUUAUCAUUCUUAAUCUUGUUUGUUGUCAUCAAAAUCAACAUUAUGAAAACAUAUAUGUUAACAGAUUUACUUUAAAAUGACAUAUAAUAUAAUAUAACUUAAAUCAAUAAUUAUUGGUAAAUUUAUUAAAAAAAUACAAAAUCUUUGCUUAAUUUUUUUUUAAUAUUUAACAUGUUAUAGUUUCUAAUCCCAUGAAUAGUAAAAGAUAAAGUUUUAUCUUAGAAAAUGUAAUCUCAAGGGUCCCAUUGGGAUGAAAUUUUGCCUCUAUUGAAAUUAAGUGGUGGGCCUAUUAUUGUUACCUUUAUUUUUUUUACACCAAACAUAAUAUAAGGAUUAUUUUACACUAAAAUUAUCGAAUCCCAUAAUAUAUAACUAAAACCAAACAGGCACUUAGGGUAUAUAUGAGCCACGGUGGAGAAGCUUUAUUUAAUAUUAUUGAUUUAAAUAAUAUCUCAUUAAAAAUGUACUGAGAAGAAAUUUCGGUGGGUAUUUUAGUCUUUUCAGCAAUCACAUGAUCAGCCUUUGGCCUUGAAACUUCGGUCGGAAUGAUUUAUUCUAACAAGAAAAAACUAGGUAACAUUCCACAAAAGCAAAAGUGACAAAACAACCAGCUGGAUUCUUUUAGUAAACUACAAAUUAAAAUAGAUUUUUUCGAUAAACUACAAAUUAAAGUGGAUUCUUUUGAAUGCAAGUGGGACAGACGAUUAGGCUAAAAAUUAGUCAAGAAUCUAAUAGUCUUUUUCAAAUUCUUGUUUUAUUAUUUUUCAAAACCAGUUUUUGGUAAUUACAAUCGGGUCAUUAAUCAUUAUUCAGAGUUAUUGUUUCCUUCAAAAGUUAGUGGCUCAUGUUUGCAAGUGUGAAUGUGCGAUGCUUUUUUUCCAAAGCGCAAUGACAGUGGGUCCCGAAUCGGACGUGCCUGAAUCUUUUCAAAAUUUUAGGGAAUUAUCAUUUGUAUACCUUUAAUUUAUUUCAUUAUCAAAAAUACUACAAUACUUUAAGGGUGUAUCAAUCGUCCACCCUAAGUUGACAAAAUAUAUCAGCUGACCACUAAAUCGUUAGUUGUCGUUUAAGUAUGAUGACGUCAGAAGGAUAAUUUAGUCUUUUUAUAUAAUACAAGUGAUAAUUUAAGAGUAUAUAAGUGAUAAUUUUUAAGGGUAAAAUUAUCAAUUCACUGUAACUCUGUUAACUUUCAAACGGCAACUAACGGUUUGGUGGUCGGCUGAUACAUUUUGUCAAUUAAGGGUGGACGAUUGAUACACCCUUAAAAUAUUAUAGUAUUUUUAAUAACAGAACAAAUAUAAGGUAUAUGAAUGAUAAUUUUCCUAAAAUUUUUGCCGUAUAAGGAACAGAGGUCAUUACUAAAAUUUCUCUUCCACAGCCUACAGCAGCUUCAGUUUAUCAAACUCAAUCAAUUUUCUUUCUUAACAAAAUUCCAAAGAUGUGUAGCAUUUUUCAGAUCACAUGCGACGGUGCUCUUUUCAAUCGUUGCUUGGAUUGCUUUCUUGGAAAAGCAGCAUACAUACGUAACCUCCAAGAUAAUCUUGUAGCCUUGGAGACUGAAUUGGGAAAUCUAAUCGCAAUAAAGAACGAUCUGAUGAGGAGGGUUGACGAUGAUGAACGACAACAAAUGAGAAGGCUGGACGGAUUGCAAGUGUGGGUUUCGAGGGUGGAUGCUGUUAAAACUGGAGCCGAUGAACUUAUCACAGACGGCUCUGAAGAAAUUGGCAAAUUAUGUGUUGGAGGCUACUGUUCCAAGAACUGCAGGUCAAGCUACAAGUUCGGAAAACAAGUGGCUAAAAAGCUACAAGAUGUGAAGACUUUAAUCGCCGAGGGAGUUUUUGAGGCGGUGGCUACUGAGGUGGUGGCUGAGAGAGCUCCGGAACCUGUAGCAGAUAAAAGACCCAUUGAGCCAACAAUAGUAGGCUUGCAAUCACAGCUUGAACAAGUUUGGAGAUGUCUUGUAGAAGAAUCAGUGGGAAUCAUUGGCCUAUAUGGUAUGGGUGGUGUUGGUAAAACCACACUAUUGACCCAUAUCAACAACAAAUUUCUUGAGAGUCAAAACAACUUUGAUUGUGUGAUUUGGGUCGUAGUUUCAAAAGACCUGCGACUUGAAAAAAUUCAAGAAGAUAUUGGGAAGAAGAUAGGUCUAUCUGAUGAUUCAUGGAAGAAUAAAAGUUUUGAAGAGAAAGCUGUGGACAUCCUGCGGAGAUUAGGAGAGAAGAGAUUUGUAUUGUUGUUAGAUGAUUUAUGGGAGCGGGUUGAUUUAACAAAAGUGGGCGUUCCACUUCCCAGCGCACAAAAUACUACCUCAAAAGUCGUAUUCACAACCCGUUCCAUUGGUGUUUGUGGCAGCAUGAGAGCUAGGCCGGUUAAAGUGGCAUGCCUAUCAGAAAAGCAAGCUUGGGAACUGUUCCGCGAAAAUGUUGGGGAAGAAACUAUUGAGAGUGAUCAUGAGAUCGUUGAGCUAGCCCAAACUGUGGCCAAAGAGUGUGGUGGUUUGCCACUCGCACUUAUUACUAUUGGUCGAGCUAUGGCCUACAGAAAGAAAGCGGAGCAUUGGAGACGUGCAAUUGAAGAGUUAAGAAGAUCAGCUUCAGAGUUUGCAGGUUUGGGAAAAGAGGUGUAUCCUCUUUUAAAGUUUAGCUAUGAUAGUUUGCAGAAUGAGACAAUUAGAUCUUGUUUCUUGUAUUGUUGUUUAUAUCCUGAAGAUUAUGGCAUUCUUAAAUGGGACUUGAUUGAUUGUUGGAUUGGUGAGGGAUUUUUAGGGGAAUCUGACAGGUUUGGUGCAGAAAACCAAGGAUAUGACAUUUUGGACACACUUGUUCGUGCAUGUUUAUUAGAAGAGGUGGAAGAUGAUGAAGUAAAAAUGCAUGACGUUGUUCGUGAUAUGGCUCUAUGGAUAACUUGUGAAAUUGAGAAGGAGAAGAGAAACUUUUUGGUUUGUGCAGGUGAGGGACUAAAGGAGGCACCGGAUGUUAAAAGAUGGGAAAAUGUGAGAAGAUUGUCACUGAUGCAAAACCAAAUUGAAACUUUGUCAGAGGUUCCUACAUGCCCUCAUCUCCUCACUUUAUUUCUUGACUUCAAUGAAAAUUUGAAUAUGAUCGCGGAUGGCUUCUUCCAACUUAUGCCUUCUCUCAAAGUUUUGAAGAUGUCAAACUGCGUGAAUUUAACUUUGAAAUUACCUUUGGGGAUGUCAAAGUUAGGUUCACUAGAACUUCUUGAUGUUUCGCAUACUGGCAUAAGAGAGUUACCAGAAGAGUUAAAGUUGUUGGUAAAUCUGAAAUGUUUGACUUUGAGGUGGACAUUUGAGUUAAAUAAAAUUCCACGGCAACUAAUAUCAAAUUCUUCAAGGUUACGUGUGUUGAGAAUGUUGGGUACUGGCCUUUUGAAUUUUCAUCAAGCGUCAGAAGACAGCGUUUUAUUUGGUGGGGGUGAAGUUUUGAUACAGGAAUUGCUCGGUUUGAAAUAUUUAGAGGUAUUGGAGUUGACCUUGGGAAGUUAUCAUGCUCUCCAAAUUCUUUUGAGCUCAAAUAAGUUAAAAAGUUGUAUUCGAUCUCUUUUCCUCCAGUUGGCCGGAGAUGCAACGUCGAUUGUUGAUGCUACGGCUUUCACAGAUCUAAACCACCUCAAUGAAUUAUAUAUUAAUAAAGGUUUUGAGUUGGAAGAAUUGAAGAUUGAUUAUACGGAGAUAGUACGAAAAAGGCGGGAACCUUUUGUUUUCCGCAGCCUUCACCAUGUUACUAUAUGGCGGUGCGCUAAAUUGAAAGAUUCGACAUUCCUCGUUUUUGCUCCAAACCUCAAGUCUCUUGUGCUACGUAAUUGCCAUGCUAUGGAAGAAAUAAUCAGCGUUGGAAAAUUUUCCGAGGUUCCUGAGAUGAUGCGACAUAUGAGCCCUUUUGAAAAUCUCCAAAGGCUUCAUGUAGAAGAUUUGCCAGAUUUGAAGAGCAUCCACUGGAAGCCAUUGCCUUUCACUCAUCUGAAAGAAAUGGGGGUAAGAGCAUGUGAUCAGCUUGAAAAGCUUCCACUCGAUUCCAGCAGUGCAAAAGAGCAUAAAUUUGUUAUUCGUGGAGAAGCAGACUGGUGGAACCGACUUCAAUGGGAGGAUGAAGCCACUCAAAUUGCUUUUCGUUCCUGUUUCCAACCUUAUUCCUGAGCCGUGGUCGCAAAAUUUGAUUUCUGGUGAGUGCGUUUUUGUUAACGCUUAUGUUUUAUUCCAGUGUAUUUUUCUUCUGUCUUCUGCAAAUCACAAUUAAAUGUGUGAUACAUGUUACGGGUAAUAUACAUGCAGUAUUUUUGGUACACUGCAAAUCACAAUUAAAUGUGUGAUACAUGUUACGGGAAAUUUAUAUACAUGCAGUAUUUUUGGUGGGGUCGAAUUGAUGCUCUGGUUUUCGACUACUUUUUGCUGUCAAAAUUUUCUCUGUUUUUUCAAAUUGAUGCUUUAUUUAUAUCUUCUUCGUGAAAAGUGAUUUAAUUUCCUGCCAAAAGACGAACGAGAAGAACAUUAGAGUCAAACUAAUGCUCACAUAAAUUUCCCGUAAGAAUAUAUAUAUAAUUAGACUGGAAUAGUAGCACUCUUUACAGAAAAUGACGCGAAAGUUAAUUUAGAAAGAUAUAUUCUUGAUUAAUCCAUUUUCUGAAGCUUUUAUUUUGUAUGGUCAAUUAUACCUUCAUACUAAAAAUUUCUGAAGUUAUAAAUUAGUGCAACUUGACAAUUUUUACUGAUGAUAUCUUCUAUUUUUCCUUUCUUUUUUUUUUUACUCUCAUUGAAUGUUACUGUCAUUUUACUUACAAAUAGGUUUGAAUUUUAUUUAGUUUUCUCAUAGUAUUUGUGCAAGUACUAGAAGGUCAAACCCCGCAUACUUUGAUUGCCAAACCACCGUCCAAUUUAAAAAAAGAAAAAAAGAAAAAAAAUGUGUAAUCCAUGAAUCUGGUUAAUUUUGUUUGUUUGUUUUUUUUUUUUAAAUAUCAUUCUUUUUCGGCCACCCAAAAUAUCAUUGAUGACUUUUCUGGUCUAAUGCUAUGUAAAUAGUAUGUUAAGUAAAACAUAAUCAAUUAUUUGUGUUUUAUCUCUAAUUAGAACAUCAAUCAGUUCAGUACCUCACAAAUAAUUCGCAAUAUCUACAAAAUACUAUAAUGGCUACAAAACAAAUCCUGCUUGCAAAUUGUCAAGGAUACCUAUCCGUUCGCUUGACAAGUCAUUUGAAUAAAUAUUGUUCACAUUCCUUACUCUGUCAAUUAUCCAAAGCACCAUCAACUUUAGUUUGAAUAGUAUACAUGCCAUCACCAUUACCAAGAAUCAAGCAUGGAAUUGGAAGUCAUUCUAUAGAGUGCAGAACAUGACUGUACGGUAUAUAUAGCCCGGUGACUUUAUUGUUUUGUUAAAUUUUUUGUUUAAUAUUCUAAAUCUUUGUUUACAAAUUUUAAGUGUUAAUUCUUCGGAAAGCUGACCUCGAAGAAAGGCGUUAUUGAUAUCCAAUUGACGAAAAGGCCGGCCAUGACUAACAUCAAUACUAAGAACAAGUAUAGCCCGGUGACUUUAUUCUUUCUUGUAGUCUUUGCAUCACCACCUCAUUACACGCCAAGCCAAUAUUCCAUUUACCUCUACAACAAAAAGUUUUUAAGUAAACAAUCCUAAUGCACGCAGCCAAAUAAAAUGCAGUAAGAAUAUUCAACUUAAAAAUCUGAAAGCCAACUUGGUGAAUUGCCUCCUUAGGUGAAGUUCCAUGCUUUACUAUAGUUGACACAACUCAGCAAAAGCUUCCAUACAACAGAUUUCGAAAAUGAUGAUGCCAAUAGAUACUCAUUCAAUCCAUUGAAACUCCAAAGGUUCAUUGUUCAUAGAAGUUUACAGAGUUUUGGUCAUCAAAUAGCUCAGACCUAAUCCCAAACAAAAAACGAGUGAAAAUUAGAUCACGAGCAGCUAAUUGUAAAUUCUAACUUAACUCUUCAUCUCCUUUGUAAACAAGAAACAAAAUGGAGACACGCAAAAUGAAUAUGGAGAAAAUUUGAACUCAAAUGAAAUGAGGCACGAAAGCAAACAAAUGGCAUGCACAAAAAAACCAAGCCUCGAUAAAAAACUAAUUAACCAUUAAGAAAAAAAUUGGUCAGAGAAUGAACUCCAAAUUCAGGAGUCAAGCAAGAAGCUUUCAUUAUUUCAGAAGCUCCUGUACAAAUUAAUAAGUUAUGCUCUUUGGAUGCAAACCUAAAUUCCAAGAGAAACAGAACCCAAAAAAUUUGCAAUUAUACGCAAAGGAAGUGAAGCACAGGAUUCUAUCACACAUAGGAAUUGUAUAACAAGAGAUCGAUAUAUCGAAUUAGAAAACUCAAUUCGAAUUUGUGUCAAAAAUCAAAAUUAGAAGAUUUCACAUUUCGAGAGGAACAAGCAACAGAUGAAGUUGAAAAUUUUCAGCCAUAACAUGCUAAAAAUGCUACACUUAACGGUUCAUUUUCAUGGAUUUUCUCGGGAAACAAACAGAAAAUUACGGUUUAGAGAGUUGAAUGACCUUUUGGCUUUUGAAAUUGAGAAGAUCGCGCGCCAAAUUGGAAGAGGGAAAGUGAGAGUGCGAGUUUUAAUAUCAUUGUUUUAUUAUCGAUAAUUAUUAAAUGUUUUUCCAAAAAAAAGAACAAGCAAGGAUAUUUUAUUGUCAUUUGCAACCUUUAAUUUUUUAAAUGCUAUUAGAAACACAAGACAACAAAGAAAUACUUAUUUUUUUUCUAAAACUAAAAUCAAUUCUUUAACUUCUUAUUUCAUAAUCCAACUCCAUUACUAAGUUAAAAAAAAUUGUUUAAAAAUUACUUGAGUCAUAUCCAAUGGACCAACAAAGUAAUCGUUUUUAUUUUUAUUGAUUUUUGCAGGAAAUUAAUAAGUUAAAAAUACUGAAAGCUAUUGUAAAAAAUUAAAUUUCCCUGAUACUGAAAGCUAUCGAUAAUUAUUAAAUUUUAUUUUUAUUGAUUUUCGCUGAUUUUAAAUUUCGUUGUUUGUGAUGGAAAUUUUUUUGAAAAAAUUAAUGUGUUCGAUGAAUGUCAAAAUCUCAAAAACUUUUUGUUUUUCAUUUUUUUGGAAAAAACCACCGAGGUCCUUACUAUUUUUCUUAUAUCAUCUUGCUUAAUAAUUUGCAAAGUCUAUCACAUAGCACCCAUGCAUGAUGUAUGCUGGUUGUAAUUUACAAUAUUGUACAUGAAUAAAUCCAGCUAAAAUUUGUUAAAAGAAAAUAAUAAUAACAUAUUAAAACUUUAAAAUUUGAUUAUUCGAAGAAAUUUUAAUUUAGUUAAGUAGGUGACAUGAUAAUAAAUAGAUACGUAUAAUGUCCGAGAUUUUUUAUAAGAUUAAUAAAUAUAAUAAAUUUGGAUUAGUUCAAUUUUGACAUAAUUCAGAAUAAACACAUCUUGCUAAUCUAAAUUGCCACCGUUACUCAUCAUCAGGUACCUGUUUGAAAAAUAAUUACAAACAACUUAAUUUGUGUUGUUUCUCUAAAAGUUUGAGACACAAAUGUUAUUUCAAAUUGAAACGCCAUGCACUAGUAGUAGGUAAGAGAAACCAAGGUUGAAGUUACUGUUCAUUUAUUUUUAUUUAUGAUUUUUUGUAAAAUGUAAGAAAUAUGUAGAAAUGUUGCCAACAAUGAUUUUGGAACUUUGCAUAAAAUUUUUAUCAUUAUUGUUUUUGGUAUUAAGAAAUCCGAGGCGGUGAUUAGUCGUAUGUUGCAACAAUUAAGAAAUUUCUUAUUGGAGAUAAUUUGGUAGGUUGCAACAAUUAGAGAAUAAUUUUCCGGUCAGUUAAUCAAUCAAUAAUAAAUUUCAAAUUGCAGAAAAUAAAAUAAUACUGUCGCACUUAGAAUCAUCUUUUCUAUCUCUUUCAAUUGUGACAAUCAUUUGUAACUAAUAAAUCAAUUCAAAGUUCAAGUCACUGCUCAAUUGCAGAGUAGUUAGUAGACAUGCAUGCAUGUUUAAUUAAGUACUGCAUUGUAGUAUCGAAAAUCAUAACAUCUCACCAAGCCCGGAAGCAUAGCUCUUUAUCUUGUAAAUGUUGAAAUCUUAUGCAACCUAUGGGAAACAUGAUCUCACUCUCAGUGUCACUUGAUUCCAUUUUCUGUUCUUGCCUUGAUUUCAUUGUUGGGAAUGUGACGUCUGAGUCUAAGGUUGAAGAUAAUCUCGAUGCCUUGCGGACUGCAUUGGAAAAAUAAGCGGAAACGAGAAAUGAUGUGAUAAAUUGUGAGCCAACAAUAGUGGGCAUGGUGUCGACUUUUGAGAAAGCCUGGAGAUGCCUUGAAGAAGAAUCAGUUGGAAUUAUUGGCCUGUAUGUUAAUGGGGGAGUUGGAAAAUAUUUACUCAAAUCAACAACAAGUUCCUUGAUAGUCCAAAUAAUUUUGAUGUUGCGAUCUGGGUAGUGGUCUGCCAAGAUUUACAACCCCAGAAGUUUCGGGAAAAGAUUGGGAAAAAGAAAGGCUUGUUCGAUGAGUCAUGGAAGAACUGAAGUUUUGAAGAGAAAGCACUCGACAUAUUCAAGAAUUUAAGCAAGAUGAAGUUUGUAUUACUGCUGGAUGAUAUAUGGGAGCAGGUUGAUUUAAUUAAAAUUGGUGUCCCUCUUCCAAGCACAAAAAUUACAUUCAAGAUAGUCUUCACAACUCGUUUUAUUGACAUUUGUGGCCUCAUGGAAGCUCACAACAAGAUUAAAGUGGAGUGUUUAAAUGACGAAGAAGCAUGGGAAUUAUUCUGCAAGAAGGUUGGAGAAGAUGUGGCGAUAAAAUGAGUAUAUAUAUCCACUUUUGAAAUUCAGUUAUGAUAAUUUACCUAGCGAUAAAAUUAGAUCGAGUCUGUUAUACUGUAGUUUGUUUCUGGAAAACUUUCCAAUUAGCAAAACGGAAUUGAUACAUUGUUGGAUAAGCGAGGGCCUUUUGGAUGAAACUAAUAGUUCUGAGAUAUGAAAUCAAGGAUACUACAUUAUUGGUGUUCUUGUUCCUUUAUGUUUAUUGGAAGAAGAGGCUCCACUAUAUGUAAAAGUGCAUGAUGUGAUACGCGAUAUGCUUCUGUGGAUCGCAUGUGAAUUUUUUUUUUUUUUUUUUUGAUAGGGAUAGUAUGUGAAGUUGAGAAGGAGAAAGAGAAUUUUUUGGUUCGUGCAGGUGCAAGGAUUAACUGAAGUACCAGACAUUUGGAAAUGGGAAGGGUUGAGAAGGGUGUCUUUGAUGAGCAACAAAACUGAGAAGUUAUCAGAAAUUCCUUCAGAUCCCCAUCUACUGACUUUGUUGCUUCAACGUAAUUAUUUAGAGAUGAUCAAUAAUGACUUCUUCCAAUCUAUGCAUUCCCUUAGAGUUUUGAACUUAUCAUGUAAUCGUUCUCUAACUGAUAAUUUCAAAGUUAGUUUCCCUACAACAUCUUAAUUUAUCAAUGACUAACAUACGAGAGUUGCCGAUUGAGUUAAAGUUUGUAGUGAAUCUUAAGUUUUUGAAUGUGGAGUAUGCACGGUUUCUUCAUUCAAUUCCAGGGCAAGUGAUAUCCAGUUUUACGAUGUUACAAGUUUUGAAGAUGUUUGGUUGUGGCAGGUCAUCUUCUGAUCGUGAGCCACACCAGAAGAUAGCGUUUUAUUUGGAGGCAGUAAACUUUUGAUUGCGGAGUUGUUUGGUUUGAGAGACAUUUAGAUUUGUUGACCAUCAUCCUAAGAAGCUCCCAUGCUCUGAAAGAUUUUUGAGCUCCAACAAACUUCAAAGUUGUACUCAAUCUCUCUAUCCUAAAUGCUUUGAUUCGAAGUCAGUUGAUGUUUUUGGCCUGGCUGAUCUGAAGCAUCUCAAUAGGCUAUAGAUAUUGCGAGUUGUAAGCUUUUGGAAGAAGUGAAGAUUGACUUUGUUGGGAAAGCACAAUGAACCCAUGGUUUUCACAGCCUUAUGUCACGGAAGUUGUGUAAAUACUGCACGGGUUGCUGCCAUCCCAUGACAUUGAGCCAUGUUGAAAUAUCAUUUUGCUGUAAACUGAGGGAUCUGACAUAGCUUGCUUUUGCUCCAGGCCUUCUUGUUGUUUCCAGAAAACAUUGCCAUGAUAUAGAAGAAAUACUCGGUGUUGGAAAAUUAGGUAAAGAGAUGAUGUCAAACCUGGAACCUCCUACAAAACUCCAAGGUUACGUUUGUCAUGUGGGAUUGGAUUGAACUAAAUUAUUAAGAUUGAAUUAAAUUGAAUUAUAUUUAUAUUCUUAUGUUUAGUACCGGAUUGAACUAUAUUAGAUUAUAUUUAAAUAAUAUUAAAUAGUAUUUAAGUUGGUAUUUUAAUAUAAAUAUCAAUUAUCCAUGAAAUUUUAUAAUCAUAAUUAAAAUAAAUUUAAAAAGUAAUUACUAGGAAAAUUAAAUAUAUUGCAAAAAGUUAUUGGGUAGUCAUAAUAUAAUAAGCAAAUAAAAUUAAAUAAAACAAAUUAAAUAUUUAAUUAAUUUUUAUCAAAUAUUUAAAAAUAUUAUAUAAAAUCAAUUAAUUAAUGGUUUUAUUAAUUUUCAUGAUUAUUUUUAAUAUUACAUUAGUGAUUAUUAAAUUUAAUACAAUCAAAUAAUGCAAUAAAUAAUUAAACGUUUAAUUUUAUCGAUUAAUUAUUAAAUAUACAAGUAAUAAAAAUUUAAUCUCAGGAGUUGGUAGAAGCAAAAGUACUAAUUUAAUUACAUCAUAGAUAAUAAAUAAAAAUAAAUUCUAAGUAAAUCAUAAUAAAAAAAUUAAUUAAUUGAUUCAAUCAAUCAAUAUUAGGUGUAAAUAAAAAAAGAGUAAUGAUAUAGCCACAAACUCUUGCACAAACUUAUUUUGUACAAACUCAUGUGUCAUGAUAAGAUUAAUUAAAUUAAAUAUCACUUGACCUACAUGAUUUAUUUUUAUUAUUUUAUAUUUUCAUUCAACCAAUGAAUUAACGCCACGUCAGUUUGUAUAAGAUAGGUUUGUACAAGAGUUUGUGGCUGUAUCAUCGCUUAUAAAAAAAAAUAUAAAUAAAAAUAUCAUAAAUAGACAACUUUUAUCUUUAAUCUUAUUCCAACUAAACACAUGUGUAAAUUAGAAUUAUUAAUCCCAUGAUUUUAAGAUUAAAUUCAAAUUUAUUCCCCCUUAAUCCAAUCCAACUAAACUUGUCAAACAUGGGAUAAAAAUUUAAUUCUAAAAUUAGUACAAUUCCAUAUUUAAUCCUAACAUCCAAAUAUAGCCCAAGUUGUUUGCUUAAAGAAGCUACCAAAUUUGAAGAGCGUUUACGGGAAGGCCUUGCGUUUCCCAGAUGUAUGCAGAAUUUUUGUAUCUAAAUGCCCAGAACUUAAGAAGCUGACGCUGGAUUUGAAAGGGCGGGCCAAGGUAAAAUUCUUAUCAAGUGAAAGGAAAAUCGGUGGGAACAACUUCAAUGGGAGGAUCAAGCAACUCAGGAUGCAUUGCUUCUGUUUUUCAAAUCAACUGACAAGUGAUUGAAGGGGGCAUCAUCAGCCUGGAUGGGGAGAUCCUGGAGCAGAUCAGCAGGGUUUGAAUCUGCAUCAUCAACAUCAUCAGGAUCUCUAUUUCUAUUGCUGGUCGUAAUGCCUGCCUACUGUUGCUUGAAAAAGUGAUUAAGUGAGCCAGUUUUUUGUUCAUUAAAUUUUGUCUUGUAGAGACAGUCACAAAGUAUUUUUCUUAGUUGUUCUAUAUGAGAGUGAUGUGAAUCAAUUUUUCAAUUAUAUAUUCUGUGGUCAUUGUGAAUUUUGUUUAGAGCUGCAGACUAAGAAUAUGGAAAAGUUCACCGGCCAAAACUUUGUAAAAGCUUCCAAGUGAAGGGCCCGGGUGGGACUUGGGAGGCACACCAUGUUUUGUCUUCUAGCGUUGUGGCCGUUAGAUAUUUGGUCCCAUGAUCUAACGGCGCAUGAAAUUGAAAGGAAAUCGGCAACCGUUUAAGAGUGCUCAAGUGAGGUAGGUUAGGGUUUUACGAAAUCUCAAAAGACCAAGAUACUCCAAACUGCCCAUGAAAUUGAAAGGAAAUCGGCAACCGUUUAAGAGUGCUCAAGUGAGGGAGAUAUUUGGAGAAUAGGGUAGACAUCUCCACCCCCACUCCGCCCCAUUGCCAUCCCUAAAGGCAAAUGAGGUGGUACCUUCCAACCGCUGAAAGGUAGUUUUGGUCCCAAGUGAAACAGGGGAUGCACUUACUAUUAAGGACAGUUGGUGGCCAGCUAAUGCACUCAUUUUAUGUCCUUUCAUCUUUUUGAAUUAUUGAAGACAAGUGGCUCAUCGCUUUUACUGUAGGUAAGAUCCAGAUGAUCUCGUUUAUCAAAAUAAUUAUUUUAAAAUACUUUAAUUGUUUUUACUUUUAUGUUAUCUUUACUAAACUGGAAUCAGAAUAAGCUGAAAUCGAAAUGAGUAGGAAUAAGAAUAGAAUGGAAUGAAAAUAAUGAAUGAAAAUCAAAAUAAGUUGUUUACUUGAACUAUAGGAAUUAAAAUCGAAAUGAGCUGGAUUGCCAUUAAUGUGUUUACUUUGUCUUGGAAUCGAAAUCGGAAUGAAUUAGAUUGUAACAAAUUACUAAAAAGUACUUAAUGGAUUAUUGUCAUAAUUAUUAUUAAUUAAUAAAUUAAUUAAUUGUAAAAAAAUUUAAUUAAUUAUAAUAACUAUAAUAAAAAUUAUUAUAAAAAUAUAUUAACUAAUAAUAUUACUAUAAAUUACUUAAUUAAAAUAAUAUAUGAAUUAUUGUGAUUAUUUAUUCAAAAAAUAUAAUUAUUAAUAAUUAUUGUUAAUAAUAUAUUAGUAAUAAAUAUAUUAAUUAUUUAAUAAUGUGAUUAUUUAUUCAGGAACAAUAAUUAUUAAUAUAUUAUUGUUAAUAAUAUAUUAAUAUAUUAAUUAUUGUGAUUAUUUAUUCAAGAACUAUAAUUUUUAAUAAUUAUAGUUAAUAAUAUAUUUAUUUAUUAAUUAAUCAUAAUAUAUUAAUUAAUUAAUUAUAAUAUUAUAUUAAUUAAUUAUAAAAGAGGACAAAGUGGGUAUUUUUAAUUUUGGGGAAGGUAAAAUGGUCAAUCCUAGGAAUGAGAGACUCAUUCCCACCUGCCUAUGGGAAUCAAUCUCCCAAUCUUCAUUCUCAAAUAGUGGUGGACCCCAUCAUUCCGAUUCUGAUUCUUGCUCCAUAUUUACGAAGUAAACACCGUCAAUCAUUUUAAUUCUGGAAUUCGAUUCUUUAAUCCUGCAAGUAAAUUAGGGAUGGCAAAACGAAUAAACGAAUCGAAUCGUAAACGAAUUAGGUCAAAAUUCUAUUAAUUUAGAUUCAUUUAUUAAACAAAUUAAAAUUUUAUGAGUAGGAUUCGAUUGAUUUAUUAAACGAAUAUUUGAUUUUUAAUAAACUAUAUAUGAAAGUGGAAUCUUUUGAAUAUAAGUGGGUAAGCUCCCUUUAAAAAAAAAAAAAAAAAAAAAAAAACCGGGGUAGGCUCUUUUAUUAAAGACAAGUCACAAGUAUUGAGUAGUCACGAGUCACGACGGUUAGGCUCUUUUAUUAAACUGCAAAUUGUAGGAGGUUGCUAUGCUACUGGGAAGCAGCACACGUGUCCUGAAGAGAGAGAAAAACCGAGCAAAUACAGGCAAUGGGAGUUGGCUAAAAGUUGGAUCUGCAAUUUACAAAAUCUGUAACUUAGGGGAAAUUUACAGUAAUAACCAAAAAAAAUUCCCUUUUUUUCAUUUUAACCCCCAAAAAAUAUUUCUAUCAACAUUAGCCAUUAAACAACAUUUGAGACCAAAAUACCCCUCCCUCAUCUCUCCCCCAACACUCCAUUUCACUCAUCUCUCCCAAACCGAUCCAACUCCCAUCAUCGGCGGCGACAUCAACCCUCGUCGGCGGCGGCUCCAUCUCUCACCGGCAUCCGAUCUACGAUCUACAACCUUCAACAAAAUCUAGGUUAGUCAUUUUUCUUAUUUUCAUUAAUUUAAAAUGAGAUUUUAGAAUAAUAAUAGUUAUAGCUUGAGAUUAAUAGUGGUGGUGAUGAUGUUUGUGGUGGUUGGUGGUGUUUGGGAGUAUUGUUUUCGAUUUUGGAGUGAUUGUGCUUAAUUUUGCGGGUGGGGAGGGAGGGGAGUAGGGCGCGCGCGCGCCCAUCGCUGGGCAGCAGCGCGGCACGCUGUUGCACCAAAUCUGGUGCGACAGCUAUUUUUUUUGUUUAUUAAUAAGUUUUAUUGUAUUAAAUAUUUGAUAGUUGUUUUAUUUGAUUUUUCACUUUGGUUGUUGUAGGCUUGGAUUUACGAAGCAAUCGGAGGGUUGCCAUCAACAUGGGUCGUCAAAACGAAGAAUAAGAUUCCCCGCAUUCUGCAAUGGAAGCCCAUGGCGUCGUCGAGAAUCAACUUUGCGGAGGUUUAUUCGUUCUUCAACGACGAAUCUCGUCUUGUAAGUAAUAUGUAUUACUUAUUUUUUAAACUUUACUAAAUUUAAGUUAUGUAUACUUACUUAAAAUUUUCAAUUGAAUUUAUGGAAGGGGGACGUUUUACAAACCCUUGAGCCAAAUUCAAAGGAGAGUAGCAAAAAUUAUUGGCUCUCUGUGAAGGAUUACUUGCCAAGCAUUCCAGACUGGGUUCAUAAGGUCGGUAUACUCUAAGCACGAAAAAUUUGUUAAUCGAAAUUUUUGACUUUUCAUUUACUAAUUUUAAAUGAUACUUUAUACAGCACCAACCCUCAAUCAACGCGAUGCCGUCGGUUACAAGGCAUUCAGACGAGCAUGACGAUCAUGACGACAUACCAAACCCAAUACCAGAGCAGUGUCAUGACACUUUUGCGGAUGAGGUGGGCCAUGACACUUUUGAGGAUGAGGUGGGUAAAUAUGACCACCAGGAGCAAACAGACAACUCUGAUGACGCACGGGAUUCUGAGGUUAGAAAUAAUAUACGAUAUUUUUUUUUAUAAAUUAUUAAUUUUUUAUUGUUAUUCUAAAGUUUUAUUUUUUUCUUUUGUAAUAGUCGAGGACAAAGCAGUUUAAUGAUUACGUACGACGACGGCUGGAUAAGAUUGAUCGUAACGUGUAUGAAAUUAAGUCAGAAUUAAAAGAUUUUAAAGAAACCGUUGUUGGUUUCAUCGACACAUUUUCUAAACGUCCAAAUAAGGAUUCUCCCACUGCACGCUCGUAUGCGGUAAGCUAUUUUAAAUUUGAUAAUAAUGUUCGUUUAACUUUUAAUUUGAUAGUUAUUUAAUAUGUUCUUUUUGGCGAAUGUACAGGCCCCGGAUGACGUUGGAGUGUAUACUGACGUGGGCAAUGAAAAUUUGUCUACGCCCACAUCAUUGUAUAGUUUCUACGGGGAUGUAAGUGGGGAGAGCGUGCAGGUGUUCACAGAGGUGCCUCCGGGCGUUAGUAAGUUCGGCCGCGCGUACAUACCGUCGUAUGUUUAUAACAGUCCGUACAUGAUUCCUCCGGUCAGGCGAGGACAGCACGUCCGGCCUUUACCUCGACCCCAAAUCAUGGAGCAUGCGAUUGACAUGAGUACGAGUGUGGAUGUAAAUCCACUGAGAGGAUUGGAGGACUCUAGUCUGUUUGCUGAGUUUGAUCAAUGGUUUACUGGUGAUAGCAGAGUCCGCCGGAGAGUCCAGCACCCGCGGUCAUUCUUUCAAAUAAUUUUGGGGACAGCUUCGAUGGGAUGGUUAGGCGAUGAGGUAUUUAUAAUUUCCUCGUGGUGUAUACUGUUGUGGAUUUGUGUAUAAAUUUGUUUUUAAAAACUCGUAAUAUUUCUGUUUCUCUACAGCAUAUUCACGAGUAUCUCCGCUUGAUUAGCGAGAAGCAACGGCAGUAUCCAAAUGCCUUACUCCAACGUGUCACACAUACUGACACAUUUUUUUGGGUAACGUGCCGACAAAACUUAUAAAUCUUAUGUGGAUGUAAAAAUUUAAGUUUUAUUAAUUUAUGCAUUUCUUGGUUAUCUAUGUAUUAGGUGUUCUUGAAUCAGUUAUGGAAUAACAGGAAUUGUGCAGUCGAUUCAAUGGUAUUCGACGACCGCGUGAAUAGUUAUCUUUGUGGCCGCCAGCACACAAUGUCUAAAUCAAUGACGGAUGUCGAUAUGGUAUGUAUUUUAUUACAUUUCACAUGCUAUCUAAUGAAAAUAUUCAAGUUGUUGCUUUUUCUUUGUUGUAUUGUAUUUUAAUUUCAUACAUAACGAACAUGUUUUUCAAUUGUUAUAUGCAGCUACUCAUCCCUGUUAACUUCGACGGCGCGCAUUGGGUACUAGCACGAGUUGACUUUCGGAAAAACAAAGUCUGGAUUUAUGACUCAUUACUCACAAAUCGCAACGACAAAAGGUACAAGUUGAAAUUCAAGCCACUUGAAGUUAUAUUCCCUCGAUGGUUGGAAUACGUUGGCUUCUACAAUAUCCGACCGGAGUUGCAGAGUGAAGACCCGUGGAAAGUUAUCGCAGUUAAGAGCGCGCCACAACAAGAGCCCGGAACUGGCGAUUGCGGUGUUUUUGUAUUGAUGGUUACGAUGUAUUUAAUGUUCGGGAUUAGAUUGGAGUUUAACGCUAGUCAUGUCGAGUACUUUAGAAAGAAGAUUGCGGUUGAUAUAUUUAAUGACGAUAUUCAAUUGUAAACCUAUGUAGUAAUUCAAAUGUUGAAAUUUGAAAUUUUUUUUACUUCGCACACUUAAGUUUAUAUAAUUUUAAUGCCUCACAUUUUAAACUUUAAAUAAAGUUUUAUGAAAUAUAAGUGUACAAUACAAAACAAACAGUAACAGUUUUAACCAACGAACACAAAAACAAUAAUAGUUUUAACAAACUCAUAACACACAAAAUACAACUAACUUCGAGUCGACGCAAUGGGAUUCUUACAUCUCUUACGAUUAUGGCCUAGUUCAUGACACCGACCGCAUCUAACAGUCCGCCGGUCAACGUCCUCGCCAGCCGAGGGUAUUCUGAGCUCUUUACGACGGCCAGGUGGUGGUGCCUCAACUGGUGGGUAUACAUGCAUUUCCUGAAUUUUAUCUGGAAUUUCCCAAUCAGCCACAUCACCAACUGGCUCUACUGGUUGUGCAUAAGCCAUCGCCAACGAUUCUGUAGUGUAAAAGUCCGAGCAAAGGUUAAUAAAAUCCACCCGGUGUGUUAGACACGCCGCGAUUGCAUGAGCACACACAAGCUGAUCAAGCUGGAACACUCUGCAGGAGCAAGUUCUCUUUUGCAAGUCAACUAACCCUUCCUUAAGCCCACCGCCUAUAACUUGAAAGCGAUGCGGAGACACCGGCCGAACUAUCAUUCUUUCAGCUAUAGUUCUCCUCUCAGUGACUAUUUCAUCCGCCCAUGUUGUUAGCCGAGUAGUCAUUGAUUCAGCCACAAUUUUCCUAUCAUAAAACCAUUGCUGCAAUGUUUUCCUAAAGUGAUCAACAAGAUGAGUCACAGGAAAUUUUCGAGGUUCCCUCAUGAACGCAUUAACACUCUCCGCGAUGUUCGUGGUAAGAAUGCUGUACCUCCUACCUUCAAACUGCGACCUUGCCCAAUUACACGUACCGACAUUAUUUUCUAGGUAAUCAGCCGCACCCGAGUGGAUCAUCCACAACCCUUCAAGUUGUCUCUUAAAUUCCUCGUGGCCAUAUGCUUUUGCUGCAUUAAUAAAGGCAGGCUCAAAUUGAUCCCAAAGAGCUUUGGACAUUCUAAACUGAGACUUAAUGUUACCUUUGACGUGGUAAAAACAAACGCCAUGAGUUGCAUUGUGAAAAACUUUAAGAACGGCUCUCCUUAUGGCAGUGCAUCGAUCAGAGAUAAUUACCAACUCAGGUCUAUCGCCAAUCACUCCGUGUAACUUCAUCAUAAACCAUUCCCAAGCAUCGUUGUUUUCUGAAUCCAUGAUCCCAAUGGCUAACGGAUACAAUUGAUUGUUACCAUCAAGACAUGUUGCCACGAACAUGCUUCCACGAUAUAAUCCCUUCAGAUGAGUACCAUCUACAGCAAUGACAGGCCGAAUGUACUGCAUAAAACCCUUGAUGGAAGAUCCGAGUGCUACAAAAUAGUACAAGAAAUUACCAUCUCCAUCCUGCUUGAGGUGAGUGACUGUACCCUCAUUCGCUGUAGUUAGUACGUGAGAGUAUUUAGGGAGCAAGUUGUAUGACUCUGCAGGGUUGCCUCGAACUAUUUCAAGACCAACUUCUCUCGCCCGAUAUGCCUGCUGGUAUGUUAACUGAACACCGUAUUCCUGUUGCAUAUCUGCUCUUAUGUCAUUCGGAGUAUAAAUCCUCUUGUCUUGAAUAUAUUUUUCUGCGAUAAUAUGACCGACAACCUGGCUCCUGACUUGAUGACGUCCAUCAACCAAUACCUCAUUAUGACAAGUGUGUACAUUGUCAAUUCUCUUCACCACCCACGGAAUAUUUUGCUCGUUCGAACAUCUAGUUGCUCGAAUACGCCAUUUACAUGAUUCUGAACAACAGUGAGCCUCGAAACGUGUCGUAGUAGACCGUGCAAUCUUGAAAUCAAACUUGUCUCUAAAGGCAACCUUGCGUAGUUGUAAUAUAAACUCAUUUUUCUCAGCAAAUAGCUUACCCACACUGAUAUCAUCUGAAUCACAACUGCUAACAAAGCUUGGAGCAACCAUAUUCGAAGGCAAAGUUGGAGCAACACUUGUAAGGGGGUCAAUUCGCCUUCUCGAUCGAACCAUAGAAGGAAUAGGUCUAUUGCCUCUGUUAUUCACAGGAGUAUUGUCUUCACACUCAUCCUCAUGCUGAAACGACGGAACAUUUGAAGGACCGGCUCCUCCAUCAUCACCAUCAUUAUUGUAACGCGUGCCCCCCCUUGUAGUAUUAGAAGGUUCUGCACAAACAUUAUCCCCCUCUGUCUCAUUAUGAAAAUCAUCAUUGUCCCGAAAAACAUUGUUGUGAUACGGAGAAUAUCGUUGCUCCAACGACGUUGUUAUUGGAAAUACUGUUGCUCCAACAUCCUGUAACGUAACGCCAUUAUCAUCAAUGUUGUCAUAAUUAUCGUGGAUUGGAGAGUAAUAUUGCUGCAACGAUAUUGUCCUUGGCAACACCUCUUCAUCAUUAUCGGGGCCAGACAUAUUUGCUCUAAACGAAGUUUCUGUAUCGACAUGUGGCUCAAUACCUUCGCUCGGAACUCGAGGUGAUGUGGUCACGAAUAUAGGAAUGCAUCCAAAAUUAGCUACGUCCGAUGCCAUAUGCAACACAACCCUCACCAUUUCAUCAUCGCAUAUAUCCAUGGGCAUUGCACAUAUACGAUAUAAUGUGUUACUAGACCUCAAAGUUGUCUUCAUGGUGAUACUAUAGUCAUUAGGGUUAAUUUGUAACACCUCGUAUACUCUUGCCAAUAACUGAUCAAACAAAUAAUUUUUUCCAACCAAAAAUGCUCGAUUUUUACCAUUCACGUACUCCAUACGGCUAUUUUCUAAUGUCUCCCACCAACCAUCGUAACACAAUUCAAGUACAACUGAAUCCAUUAAGCCUGAAAUUAUAAAAAAAAAUUAUUUCAGCCAUAUUAAAAUAAUACAGUUUUAAUGAUGUAUUUCAUGGUGGGUGCGACAGGCAACCUGUCGCCCGAAUCUUGGUGCGACAGGGUGCCCGUCGCACCAAGGUUUGGUGCGACAGGGUGCCCGUCGCACCAAACCUUGGUGCGACGGGCACCCGUCGCACCUUGCUUGGUGCGACAGGCACCUGUCGCACCAAGUUUUGCUGCGACAGGCAGCCUGUCGCCAGAUCCAGAUUUAGCCCAGUUGUUCAGAAAAUAACUCAUACCAGUAACUGAUGUCGAUUUGUGUUGGAUUCGGGAUUCGGAUGUCGAUUUGUGUUGGAUCCGGAUAAAUUAUGAUCGGAUAUCACUUUUAUCGUUGUCCUUUGCGGUCACCGUUGACUGAUGAAUCAAGAGCGAAAAGCUGCUUUUGGUUUGGCGAUAUAGGAGAAACGACGUUGGUUUUGUUACGCAAAGAAGGGUAAUUUGGGAAAAAAGGCUUGUGUUUGGCUAAUGUUGAUAGAAAAAAGUUCAGAGGGUUAAUUGCAAAAAUAAUAAAAUAAUAAUGGUUAUUUUCGUAAAUUUCCCGUUUGAAUAUGACCUUUGGCGCUUUGUUUUUUUUUUUUUGUGAAUUUUUUUCAUUUUUUCCUUCCUGUCAUUUUAUCAUUUCUUUGGCUUUGUCUCUAUUGCGGGUGUUACUGCAUGCUUACUGUUGCUUGACAAAGUUUGCUGGCUUUUCCUUUUGUUUAUUAAAUUUUUUAUGGUCACAAAGUAUUACUCGUUCUAUUUGACAGUGAUGUGAAUCAAUUUUUCAAUUUUAUAUUUUGUGGUCAAUCUUAAUUCAAUUUCAUUUGUCUCCUGCAAUUAUGAAAAAAUUGCAGUCAUAAUAUGGAAAAAUACACCGGCAAAAACUUUGUAAAAGCUUCGGAGUGAUACGGCGAAUUCACUUACUACCAAGGACAAUUGGUGGCAAAGCUAUUCCAUUCAUUUUAUGUCCAUCCAUCUAUUUAGUUAUUGAAGACUAGUGGUCCAUUUGUAAAUUUCAGAUUGUCUCUCUCUCUCUCCCUCUUGAAAUAACAAUAUUUAAUAUAUCUCUUAAAUUAUUAUAAAUUUUAAUUUACUCUCGAUUUAAAAUGGAGCAUGUCGAUAAAUUUUUUUAUUAAUAACAUUCUUUUAAUAAGGGAUACUAAUAUCUUAUUUUGAUUAAUAACAUUCUUUCACUGUGUUAACUCAAAAAAAAUAUUAUAAUGCUUUACAAUAAAUACAAAUGUCCUAUUAAAUGAAUAUAUAAAAAAUUUAGAAUAUUUAGAAUAUUAUAUAAAAUAAUUUUAAUAUAAUGCGUGAGAUAUAUUUUAUUAAUUUAAAAUGUCAUUUUACCUAAAAAAUAUGAUAAAUUAAUAAUUACAUAUUUGAAGUUAUUUCAAAUAUUAAAAAAAAAUUAAUAUUAUUAGUCUUUUAGAUAGAUUAAAUUAUUUUUUAUAAGAGAUAGAUUAAAUUAUUUUAAAAUACCUUAAUUGUUUUUACUUUUAACGCUACCGGCCUUUCUUUUAUUUUAUUGCAAAUUAAUGCUAACAAGAAAAAGCUAGAUCAUAUUCCACAAAAGCACAACCAGCUGGAAUCUUUUAUAAAACUACAAAUUAAGAUGGAUUUUUUUUUUUGAUAAAUUACACAUGAAAGUAGAUUCUUUUGAAUAUAAGUGGGGUAGGCUCUUUUAUUUUAUUUUUGAAUAUUGUAUAUCGGGACUGUAGAUUUUUUUAUUAAACUACAAAUUGUAUAGUCUUUUUCAAAUUGUUAUAAAUUAGUGGCCCCUACAAUCCUCAACAAUUGUACCGAUAUUCACAAGUUGGUGGGCCCUACAAUUCUGUUCCGAUAAUUUAACUGUGCAAGUGCUCAUUCACAAUCUUCCAGGUCAUGCUCUCUAUAAUUGUUUUUUUUUUUUUCUGCAUUCCCUUUCAUGCUCUUAAUAAUUGAAGAGCAUACUUUUCAUUUUCAAAUGUGGAGCCGCAGCUAAUGUCGCUAAUUUAAUUUGGGAUUAAAUUAGGGGACCAUUAUAUUGCAGUGUGCACUAAUUUUUGUGUUUAUCUAAACUCCUUAAGUUUAAGACAUAUUAUGGCAUAAAUAAGAAUAUAACAAUAACAAAAGAGUUAUUCAUAAAAUAUGUGAGAUAUUCAUAGUUUAUUAAUUUAAAAUACCAUUUUAAAAUUAAAGAUUUAUUUAUGAUAAAUUAAUAAUUAUAUUUUUGAAAUUACUUCAAAUAUUAAAAAAUUAAUAUUACUAAUCUAUUAGAUAGAUUAAAUUAUAUAUAUUAUUUUCUAUUUAUUAAAAAAUUAAAAUUAUUUUUAAUUACUAUUCAAAAAAUAUAAUGAUAAAAAAAAAUCUUAACAUCUUUAUUAAAAAUUUAAAAAUUUACAUGAUCAAUUCUCUAAAUAUUUAGGGUAUAUGUGAACAUCGGUGGAGAAGCUUUAUUUAAUAUUAUUGAUUUAAAUAAUAUGUCAAUUAAAAAUGUACAGAGAAGGAAAUUUCGGUGGUUAUUUUAGUCUUUUCAACAAUUAUCAUGAUCAGAUCAGCCUUUAGCCUUGAAACGUCGGUCAGAAAAGUUUUAAAAUUAACGCUAACAAGAAAAAGCUAGGUCAUAUUCCACAAAAGCAAAAGUGACAAAACAAGCAGCUGGUUUCUUUUACUAAACUACAAAUUAAAAGUGGAUUCUUUUGAAUACAAGUGGGACAGACGAUUAGGCUCUUUUUUAUUAAAGGCAAGUAAAAAGUAGUCGAAUAGUCGUUUUCAAAUUAUUGUUUUAUUAUUUUUCCUUCAAAAGUUAGUGUGGCUCAUGUUUGCAGGUGCGAAUGUCCGAUGCUCUUUUUUUAAAGGCAAUUACAGUGGGUCCCGAAUCAUUACUAAAAUUUCUCUUCCACAGCCCACAUCAGCUUCAGGAAUCAGUUUAUCAAACUCAAUCAAUUUUCUUUCUUAACAAAAUUCCAAAGAUGUGUAGCAUUUUUCAGAUCACAUGCGAUGGUGCUUUUUUCAAUCGUUGCUUGGAUUGCUUUCUUGGAAAAGCAGCAUACAUACGUAACCUCCAAGAUAAUCUUGAUGCCUUGGAGACUGAAUUGGGAAAUCUGAUCGCUAGAAAGAACGAUGUGAUGAGGAGGGUUGUCGAUGCUGAACGGCAACAAAUGAGAAGGCUGGACGGAG